rnacentral:lncRNA from 1 species
AAAAAUUUGCCUUCCCCCACCGUCCACCCCGAAUCCGCUCCGUUGCCAUCACUAGAUUUUAUCUCUAUUAACAGGUAAUAUUUUUCUCCAUAGAGAAUGGUUUGUGAGAAUAUAUCUAUCUGAUAAUGGUUUUUGUUCUUAUCUGGUAUUUGACUAUAAGAGUGUGUUUGAUUGACAUGGAAAAUAUUACCUAAAAAAGAAAAUAUUUUCCAUCUUUUGUGGAAAAUAAAAACUACCUCUACCCAAAGAAAAUGUUUUCCUUAAAAACAAGGAAAAUUAGACAUAUUUUCAAAAGCUGGAAAAUAUUUUCCAUGAAAAAAAAUAGCAAUCAAACACUCUAAGUAGGAAUUUGGGUGGAAAACUGAUAUUUUCCAUGGAAAAUAAAUAUAAUCAAACACACCCUAAGUUAUGUAUCUGUUAUUUACAUAUUUUUACUUUUUUUUCCUUUUUUUCUGUUUGUGAAAGUUCGAGUAUUUUAUUUCUUUGAUUGAUUGUGAAAUAUUGGUUUUGAAACCCUUUUCCUCCCCAACUCUUAUUUGAUGUUUACAUUACUUGUUUCCGAGGGAGAGUAUUUUCUGUUUGGCAGAUGGACAGUAGCGGCUGAAAAGGAUUAAUAAUGACGCGAUUAUGUAAUUUUUAGUCCUUUUCUAUUUCUUUGUCAUCCCAAAGUAUUAGUCUUUAUUUUUUUGCAUGUUUGUUUCUGGAAGGGAAAAAGUGUCAUGAACAUGGAGGCCGUGCCGCAUUAAGUUUUUAGAUUUUGAUCUCUUUUUAUUCUAUAUUUUUCUUUUUCUUUUUCCUUCGUUUUUCACAUAUUUAAUAUAUUUUGAAUCAUGACAACGUUCAUUUCUGAGAGGGUUGUGAAGUUUCUGGCUACAGGAAAGCCGGUGUGCUUGAUUUUUCAUUCCAGUGUCUUAUUUGGUGCUUUGUAUUCGGAGAUUCUAUGAGUUGUGUGGUACGUGGUCUCGAGUACUUGCCCAGCGGAUAUUUUUUUAUUGUGUUUUUCCUUGUGAUCCCUAGUUUUCAUUUGCCAAAUAAGCAAUUCUUCCAUAAACAAGUAAUAUAAACAUCAAAAUUUUAAAAUUGUGGAGAAAUGGGGUUUCAAUACUUGCCCAGCCGAUAUUUCACUUAUCAUUGUGUUGUUUGUGUAAUUUAGUGUAAAGAGGAAGAUAGCAGAACGAAACUUUCGUCAACACAGAACAAAAAUUAUUAAUCAGACUCUUCUUCCCUUGUGUUUAUUUUCUGGAUUUUGCUACUUUACAUAAAAUGGUACAUAAGCGGUUACCAAAAUGAUGUGGGGGGAAAAACAUGGAUGAAAAAAUUGACUGUGUUUUCAAUUGGUAAAUGAUAGAGUCUUAUAUGGAAAUUACAUAAUCUUUUAUGUAAACCUUGAUGUACAUGUAGCAAUAUCCUUUUUUCUUGGGAUUGUUAGUUGUUUACAAUUUAUGUUUUGCUUUUUCUUUUUCGGUUGUUGGAGGUUUUCAUUUACUGUUUAGGUUCCUUAGGCAUGGUAACUACCGGUAGGGACAAGGUCUUCUUCAGUUGAUUGAUGCAAACGUUUGAAUAUCGUUCUAUUAUUGGGAGAAUUAUUAUUAUUUUUUUUUAAUUUUUUUUUUUAAUUCCAAAUGUUGUAGGGGAACUAUGCAUAUUUUGAAUGGUGAGAAUUGAAUGUACGGAUUUUGGUCAUUUCUUCAAGAGAUCAUGAAUCCGAAGUAUGAUUUAAUACAAUUGGAUAGGCAUAGAAUGCUGCCAUGGAGACGUAAUGUCGAGUGAUUUGCAAAAUGGUCUUAAGUUUGUUUAUUGUUGCUUCUCUAUGCUGAAUAGAUUAAUUAAUAACGGGCUGUUGAUUUCUUUUUAUGAACACAUGCAGGAUUUUAUACACGAAUGGGAUUGGAUAAUAGUAAUAUUAAACAAGUAAAAAGAAUUUGAAAGAUUGUUCAUAUGGUGUACUAUUUAUUGUACACGCUGAUUAUUGAAUUGUUUUAUUUUUUCACUCUUUGGAAUAAGCCCCUGUUAGGUUCCAAUUUCUCAAAAUUCAUUUUUUUUCUUGAACUCGUUUUCAAUCGUACAUUUAAUGUGAUUCAUAAUUUUUAUCAACUUUUUAAUUGCAUGUUUCAUCAACUUUUAUCGAAAAUCACUUAAAAUCUGAUUUUCAGCUCUACAAAAUAGGGGCUAAGAAGGUAAAAAGAACACUUGACCUGCAAUGCAGCUUGCUGCAUUUGCAAUUCCCUUGAAUUGAUUGUUCACGACGUAGAAGGGGGCUUCUAUCCAUAAUUUACUCACGGGAAAACAAGUAUUCUGGAAAUAUUUAUUUACUUCCCUUGAAUUGAUUGUUCAUGAUGUAGAAGGGGGCUCUUAUCCAUAAUUUACUCCCGCGAAAACUAGUAUUCUGGAAAUAUUUAUUUAAAUUUAUAUUUUGAUAUGCCAUUAUUUGCAACAACCUAAAGCAUAAAAAUUUUCAGGUGGAGAGCAACUCGAAAACUUGGAUGAACCAUGAAAUGGCCAUCACAGAUGUGGAGUGUUUGGGAUUAUUUUGCAUACACGACCUAUUUUUGUGUAGGUAACAUUGAGGGCGAUUGAGUUACUCCAGCAUCAGCACCUGACUUGCUGAUUUUGGUAACAUAUAUUCAAAGGGAUUUUGAUGAUUCUUCAUAACUCGGUUGAGAAGACAUGUUUUAAUGUUUUAAAUUUAAAUGUGUUUUCCCUUUCUAAAAUUCUAUCAACUAUUUUAUAAUAAUUUAUAGUUAUAUUUAUUUAAAGAAAUAGAAUAUAGAGUGGAGUUCAUAAUUUUGCGUAUGAAAAAUUCAAAGUGUAACUAACGGUGCAAAAUCUAACGAAGUAGUAGGUUAAAAAUAAGAGUUUGAAGAUGUUAAAGCUUCGAGUUUCAAUUUUCGUCCAACGUUUGUCACUCGUGGUUUACACGUUAUGAUGUUUUUCGAUCAUUCGAUAAAAUGUAGCGAGAUUAAUUAAUGAGCAAAAAAAAUGGUUCAACUCAAACCUACUCAUCAACGAUCAAUUUUGCCGUUGGUAAAUGAGCAACUGGUGGUGGAUUGGAGUGUUGGAAAAAUGUAAUUUUCAGUGAAGCUUAGUAGUGGCAAUAGGACGAGUCGUUAACCUCACGAGCUGCAAGCUGAGCUCGUGGCUUGUUUUCAAGGCUUGGCGGUCGAGCUGUGGGCUGAGCCGAGUUUUGGCUCGUGGGCUCGUCUUUUUUUUUUAAAUAGAGAAAAACACAAAUAAUGUAAUGAAAACACUUUUUAAAAAAAAAAUAAAAAGUGUUAAAAAAAUACAAAUAAUUUAAUGAAGACAUUUUUUUAUUUUUAUUUAUUUAUAUCAUAUUGUAAUAUUUUUUAUAAAGGGUAAAAUCUAUAUUACCAUAAAAGAAAGAAUGAGGGUUUACUGUUCAUUUUUGUCACACUCGUUUUCACACUUAACUAGUUUGGCAACAGGAAAAAUGCUAUUCAAAAAUACUGUAGGACUUUUGUCACACGCUAUUGUCCACUGUAAUAUUUUUCCGUUGCUUUGAAUCUGACACACCAUGCUUUUUCUCCUAAUUCUCACGUUAUUAACUAUCAACCAUAUCUUAUAUAUUUAAAUUUUGAAAAUUAUAUUAAUUCUAACACAUCAUGUUCUUUCUCCUAAUUUUCACGUUAUUAACUAUCAACCAUAUCUUAUAUAUUUAAAUUUUGAAAAUUAUAUUAAUAAAACAAAAUUAUUGUAAAUAAAAUGUAAAAAAAAAAAAAAAACAUAUUCACAUAGUGUAUGAAGAAAAAAAUUACGUCAUACCACAUAAUUUUUCUUCAGCAAAAUGAUGUAUUGAGAAAAUUGUUGCGAAUAAAUAAUAAAUAGUAAUAAAAUAAUUGAUUUUUUAAAUAAAAAACGAUUUAUACGCAUUUUUUUAACACAUACGUUUAAUAUCCAUUUAACUAUUUUCGAUAUUAAUUUACAUUUAUGAUAUAUUUCUCGAAAUGAGUUUCGAGAGAAUGUAAAACAUUUAUCGAUUCGACUAUCGUAUAAUGGUCGAUGAAUUUGUAGAGUUAACUUGUUAUCGAAAAUUUCGAAAUAUACUUUGAAAAUGUCUAUUUUGACGUCCCGUAACAUUUGGUACGAUUAGCCGUUUCAUGCACCGUUAACGACGUGCAAUACUAUGUCACGAGUACUUCAAUAUAAUAUUAAGACACGCACCAUCCUCCGUGCACGGAGGAUUGGCACGUUUUUUUUUAUUGUCGUAAAUUCUUUUAUUAAUAUAUUUAAUUUAAAACAAUUAAAUAUAUUUAAAUAUUUACUUACAAAUGUUAAUGUUUAUAUCUUUUACCUAUAAAUAACAUUUAUCAUUACAAUUUUUUUAUUACUUUUAAAUAACUUUAGCUGAUUUUUUUACUUAUAGUGUAAUCUUUUUAUUAAUAUUUAAUUUAAUAAACUAAAUAUUUAUACUUUACAAAUUUUAAGUUAACAUUUUUUUUAUAUAUAUAUUAGUAGCUUUUGCAAUUAUAUAUAAGAGAUUUAGAAUCUAAAAUGUAAAGAGUUACUUACUAUUAUAGCAGUAGGUAAAAAAAAUGGUAAAAGUUAUUUCAGAUUAGAGUUAAAAAAAUUUGUAAUUGUAACUUUGAUUUUUUUUUAAAUGUAGUUGUAAAAGCUAUUUAUAAGUGAAAAAUAUGAACUUCGAUUUUAAAGUAUAUAUUUGUAAAAUGUAAUUAGUUACUUACGAGUACAAAGUUUGAUCCAAGUUACUUACUGUUACGCUCAUAUCUGAACCACUUCGGAAAGUCCACCACCACAUCACGCGAGGUGUGGAACGCUCAUCCGAAGUGGUUCCGAAGUGACUUCGCCAACGGUGACGAUCUGCUAUCACACUACGAGGCAUAGGCAAUUUUGGGGACUGAUCGAAGCGCUAUCGCCCCUGAAUCCGAGGCGAAAUGCACUCCAGGGGGGGACCUCUGCCAGAGGAUUCGCCGCCAAUUUCAGAAUGAGAUCUGACCAUGCGUUGAUUGUGCGCAGGGAGGAAUACGUGGAGCGGCUAUCGAUUGGCUACGUGGAGGGUCCAAUUUCCAAGGUCAACAGAUUGGCGCCGUCUGUGGGAACUUCCCGCUCAAAGUUCUGCAUUCUCCACCGGAGAAAUCACUGGAAAACUAGCGACUUACCUUGAAAAGGGCACGUUCUUGAAAAAAGAACAAAGUUGAGUUAUGACCCAAGUUCUCAUCACCCUUGAAAAAGGAGAUAGAAUGAGUUCCAGUCAUGAAGACGACAACCCCAUGAGAGAGGCCUCUGAAGAAGAGGUGCUACAUAACAAUGUCACUCAUCAGAGACCCCAUCACCGACGUCGCCGAGAUGAAAGAACAGCCAUGCUCACUGAAGAAAUGACUCAAAUAGCUGCGGGCAUGAGAGACAUCGCAGCUCAGAAUAUGGCGAUGCAUGAACUUCUCAUGUAAGCUCGAGGUCAUCAGGGCUCUCAAAUGCCCCAAGGAUCUUAUCCAGUGCAGGAAACCCCUGUAUCUCGUUCCCGAGGCCAUAUGAGCCAGCACAGAGAAUGCCCCCUCGAAAGAAAAAUGGGCGCGGAAGCCACCUCCUAUGUGCGAGGGAGCCAGCCAGCAAAACCAUAGCUAGGGGACAAUUUCCCUUAAGAAUAUGAGGAAUAAAGAUCAGUAAGCGUCUUCGAUCGAAUAGGGCAGGACCCUAGCAAUAGGGUCUGCUCAGUGCGAAGAUCAGUUCGACAAGACCAGGAGCAAGACCAGGCACCUCCUCAUCCUAGAAAUAGGAGGGAUAGGAGGAACCUAGUCGAUUGGGGGAGCCGAGGAGAAGCACCUCCACCUCCUUAGGAUAUUCAAGAUGAUGAAGGGUCAGAUGGGCCUUGUCGAUCUUAUGAAAUUGACGACGAUGAUGAUAACCUCCAUUUCUCAAGGGAUAUCUGAAACUUCCCAAUGCCAGCAAACUUCAUGCCUCCUAAGAUCCCCAAGUAUGAAGGAAAGGGGGACCCGAAGAAGCACCUCACCAAAUACAUGACACAGAUGAACCUCAGGGGAGCCUCGCCUGCUUUGAAGUGCAAAGCCUUCCACCUAACCCUGGGUGGAGCUGCUGAAGUGUGGUAUAACAGACUUCCUCCCCUGAGCAUUAAGAGUUGGCCAGAUUUGAAGAAGGUAUUCUUGAACCAAUACCUUUCACGCAGAGAAGAAGAGGCCCCAGUGCAAUGCUUGCGAGAUAUGAGGCAGGCCCCUGGAGAGACGCUGAAAAACUAUCUCGCCAGAUUUACAAACGAAAUCACAUACUGCGAAUAGGUCAUUGACAGAGAAGGCUUUUCAGCUCUGAAAGGCGGCCUCAACAUUAACACUUUAUUCUGGAGGGACGUGGGCAGCAAGAAUCCUGCCACCUAUGAUAAACUGGUGGAAAUGAUGAGAGUGAAAAUCGUCAGUGAAGAAAUGAUUGAUCACCGAAACCGUGCAGCACAAGGACUCCCUCCGCCUCAGAGGCAGGUAGGUCGAGGACCCGCAGCGCACCUUGUCACUCAGCACUGGACUCAAGUAGGUCACACAAUAGCUCCCACCUAUGGACAAGCACUGACUUCCGCCACACUGAAUGCAAUGCCGGUACUGGCAUAUGAGAAUGCUCCUGGCGAAGCAGGACCAUCUGGAAGAACUGAUAAUAAUAAAAAGAAGAAGAAAAAGCGGUCAAAUAGGCCCUUAGAAGGGGAAAGGUUUUGCACUUUUCACCAACUCUAUGGGCAUGACACCAGCGAGUGCAGAGACGCUAAUCGACGGUCGGAUUAAAGCGACCCACAUUCCUCUAGGAGGAAUGAAUAUCCUCGUAGAUCCGUCUCCCAGAACAGGGAAGGGAGAAGGCCUAGAGAGCAAUCACCCCGAAGAAGAGAAUCAAGGGACCGAGGACAGUCCAGACAGAGAGAUCAAGCCCCAUUUUCUGGAAGCCAAGUCAUCAGGGAAAUCGACACAAUCAUUAGGGGACCUCACAUCGGCUGCAACACCAGAAACACCAAAAGGAAUUGCACAAGGGAAGCAAAGGACCCACCAAUGAUCACUUACAUUGUCAACGAGUCCCAAGAGGCCAGCAGGAUGGCUCCAAUUACCUUCUCCCAAGAAGAUGCACAAGGAGUUCACCACCCCAUUGUGACGCAUUGGUUGUGAGAGCCGUAGUGGCUAGAAACGAACUCAAACGCAUGCUCGUCGAUAAUGGCAGUUCGGUGAAUAUACUGUUUGACUCCACUUUCGACAAAAUGCAAAUUGAACAUGGGUUGAUUCCCAUGACCGACCCACUUUUUGGAUUGACUGGAGACAACAUCGUCCCACGAGGGUGGAUCACUCUGCCUGUCGAGAUGGGUUCAGCACCUCUAGUGACCCAACACUUCAUGAAAUUCUUAGUGGCAGACCACAGAUCGGCCUAUCAUGGAGUAUUGGGCAGACUCGCUUUGAAAGAUCUUUGGGCCGUCACAUCCAUCCACUACUUGUGUAUGAAAUUCCCAACUGAACAUGGGAUUGCUACAGUCCGAGGUGAUCAGAUGGGCUCCAGGGCAUGUUACUUGAACUUUCUGGGAAAGUCGAAGCCCCAAACUGUUAAUGUGAUCAUAACUGAAGUUGCCAAUGAAGCCAAUAUGGACGUGGAAAUGCUCGACAUCCCUGAACAAGGGCAUACUUCCGAACAAGAGGAAGACGUCGACAUGGAAGAGGUCCUUGAACAAGGACACCCUUUUGAUGAGUUAGAUCCCCAGAUAAUUGACUUUGAACCAAAUGCAACCCCAAUGGAAGAACUCGAAACUUUCUCCGCUAGCCUAGAGGACCCUAGUCAGGUCUUGCGAAUAGGGAAGGCACUAUCAUCCCUUGAAGCAAAAGAAGAGAUGAUAAGCUUCCUAAAAGAAAACUUGGAUGUCUUCGCUUGGAAGCAUGAAGACAUGGUGGGAAUAGAUCCAAGGAUUAGUUGCCACCAUCUUAACAUCAACUUCUCCUGUGCCCCUCAUCAGCAGAAAAGACGUGCCCUCAACCCACAGAGGUACGAGGCGCUCAAAGACGAAGUAGGCAAGCUUAGCCGUAGUGGCUUCAUAAGGGAAGCCAUCUACCCGAAGUGGAUAUCCAACCCGGUCCUUGUGAAAAAGCCCAGCAGGAAGUGGAGGGAGUGCGUAGACUUCACCAACUUGAAUAAGGCGUGUCCUAAAGACAGCUUCCCACUUCCAAGGAUAGACCAACUUGUAGAUUCCACCGCUAGACAUGAACUAUUGAGCUUUAUGGAUGCAUAUUCAGGGUACAAUCAGAUACCCAUGUUCCGACCUGAUGAGGAAGCUAAAUCAUUCAUUACAGACAGAGGACUCUACUGCUACAAAGUCAUGCCCUUCGGAUUGAAAAAUGCUGGAGCUACAUAACAGAGACUGCUCAACAUGAUAUUUGCUGAACUCAUUGGCAAAACCCUGAAGGUCUACUUGGACGACAUGCUAGUCAAAAGCCUCCAGGCAAGCGAACACGUAAGUCACCUUGACCAAACCUUUCUGAUACUCAGAAAAUAUAAAAUGAAGUUGAAUCUCCUCAAGUGCACCUUUGGGGGGCUUCGGGUCAGUAACGGCCUUGCUGGAAAUGAGGUCACCUCAGAAAUUGAAGGAGGUCCAAAGCCUCAAUGGUCGGAUAGCCACGCUCAGUCGCUUCAUCUCCAAGGCUACAGAUAAAAGCUUACCCUUCUUUAAUGUGCUUAAUCAAGGAAAGAAGUUCCAAUGGACUUUUGAGUGCGAGGAAGCCUUCCAAGCGCUGAAAAAGCACCACGAAGAGGCGUCCCUUUUGUCAAAACCUCAACCAGAAGAGUCACUGCUGCUGUAUUUGGUGGUUUUGAACAUGACAGUCAACACUGUCCUAGUCAGAGAAGAAAAUGAGCGCCAAUUGUCAGUAUACUACAUCAACAAAGCACUCCUCCCAGCUGAAACACGCCACCUAGACAUGGAGAAACUGGCACUUGCCCUCAUCACAGCCUCAAGAAAAUUGAGGCCAUACUUCCAGGCUCACUCGAUUGAAGUUCUCACCAACUUCCCAUUGAAGCAAGUGCUGCAGAGAACAGAUAUAUCAGGAUGACUGCUAAAAUGGGCGAUCGAGCUCAGCGAGUUCGAUCUACUGUUCCGACCUCGACAUGCCAUCAAGGGACAGGCCCUUGCAGAUUUUGUGGUUGAGUUUGCCAAAGCCCCAGAAAUGGAGGCAACAAUGGAACCAACCGAGCCCCCGACGUGGAAACUGUUCGUAGAUGGAUCCUCAGAAGAGGCCAGCUCUGGGACAGGGAUCGUCUUGGAGAGCCCCGAAGGCCACAAGCUAAAUUACGCAGUAAUGUUUGACUUCAAAGCCUCGAACAACGCUGCCGAAUAUGAGGCCUUCUAGCAGGCCUUAGACUGGUAAGAGAAAUACAGGUCAGAAGGCUCCUAGCAAGCAGCGAUUCUCAGCUUGUAGUGAGCCAUGUCAAUGGAAAAUUCGCGGCCAAAGAUAGUAGCAUGGUUGCAUACUUGAAAUUGGUUCUGGAUCUAGUUCCUCAUUUUGAAAGGUUUGAGCUGAUUCAAGUCCCACGCUUCGAGAAUACUCAUGCAGACGCCCUGUCAAAACUGGCCAGCAGCAAGGAUUCAGAGCUACUAAAGAUUGUACCCAUUGAGCACUUAUUGAAGCCCUCCAUUUCCGGAGGUGAAGAGAUGCUAUGGAUAAAAGGCAUCCCGGUAUGGAUGCAUCCCAUCAUCGCCUAUCUAAAGGAUCAAACACUACCUAUUUCUAGAAGCGAGGCGAUAAAGUUAAGAAGAAGGGUUGCGCACUUCGUCCUGAAAGAGGAUAUGCUCUACAAAAGAGGCUUCGCCUCACCACUUCUCCGAUGUGUGGGAGACGAAGAGGCCACAUGUAUACUUAGGGAAAUCCAUGAGAGAAUCUGUGGAAAUCACUCCGGAAGAACGGCUCUGGUGCACAAGGUUCUCCGUCAAGGUUACUUCUGGCUGACACUAAAAAGGGAUGCUUGCUAGUUUGUCCAGAAAUGUGACAAGUGCCAACGCUUCUCAAAUAUUCAAAAGCAGCCUUCUCAGAGCCUCUCCGUAGUGACCAGUCCCUGGCCAUUCGCCAAGUGGGGCAUCGUCUUCAUUGGUCCACUCCCAAAAGGAAGAGGAAGCGCGACGUUCGCCAUUGACUACUUCACCAAGUGGGUCGAGUCUGAACCUCUUGCCAAGAUCACCGAGGUGAAUACUAUGAAAUUCGUCUAGAAGAAUAUCAUUUGCAGGUUCGACAUUCCCCAUUCCUUAGUGUCCGACAAUGGAAGACAGUUCGACAACAGGAAAAUGCGAGAAUUGUGCGGCGAACUGGGGAUAAAAAAGGAUUUCUCAACGCCUCAUCACCCGCAAGCAAAUGGACAAGUUGAGGAAGUAAACAAAACUAUCAAGCAUACCCUAAAAAGAAAGCUUGACACCUCAAAGGGGGCUUGGGUCGAUGCGCUUCCCCACGUCCUCUAGGCCAUCAGAACCACCAGCCGAACUGCAACAGGGGAAAUACCAUUCUCAAUGACCUACGGAGCCGAGGCCAUGAGCCCUAUCGAGGUCGAGGUCCCAUCGCACCAUCGAAUACACUUCAACGAGAUCAGUAAUGAUGAGGCCCGAGUAAACGAACUACACCUCCUUGAAGAAAGGAGGGAUACCUCCCAGGUGAAUUUGGCAAAGUAUCAUAGAAAGAUGACCCGCUAUUAUAACUCCAAGGUCAGAAACCAAACUCUUCGUUUGGGGGACCUCGUCCUUAGAAAGGUCUUCCAAUCAUCAAAUUCAAUCGGGUCCGGAGUGUUAGGACCGAACUAGGAGGGUCCUUACCUCAUCCGCAGGGAAUUCCGACCUGGCACUUUCUAAGUUGAAGACAUGGCAGGGAAAGCACUACCUCAUCAAUGGAACAUCGAACACUUGAGGAAGUACUAUCAGUGAUGAGCUUUUGUUUCGAUCCGAUCUCAAUGUUAUCUAAUAAAUGUAUGUCCUGAUCCGAUCUCGUUUGUAAUUUCCCUAGUUUACUGAGUGCUGAAAAUGUCUUAGUAAAGGGUAAUGUAACUUCUCUAAGUAAUGAUACUUCAGUUCUUUGUCACAUCGGUUAGUAAAUUGUUACCUCAGUCCUUCAAUAUGUUUACUUAAGUGAUCCGAUCAUCUAAUUAUUGUUAAGAGGCACUUGAUGUUUACUUAAGUGACCCGAUCUUCUAAUUAUUGUUAAGAGGCGCUUGAUGUUUACUUAAGUGAUCCGAUCUUCUGAUUAUUGUUAAGAGGUGCUUGUCAUUCAUGUGUAAACAGAUCAAUACGAUAAGAAAACAGAAGCAACAAUACUUGGCAAAAAUUUAAUUUCAUUAACUUGAAAUUGAGUUACAAAAAAGGCCGAAGCCAUUACAAGAGUAGCCCUAUUCUACAGGAGGGCCUUCCCCGCCAGCCUCUGCCUCGCCAGCCUUGGGAGCCUCUGGAGCGUCCUCGGCAAGCCUAUCAGGCCGGCCUCCAGUAGGUCUCCCGAACUCUGCCUCUAAAGGGAGACAUCCAGAGUGGGGUGGACCUCUUUUAGCCGACCCAAUAAGCCUUGGGCACUCUAGGAGGCCCAAAAAUUUGCAAAGUCGUCGUACAAGGGAUGCUCCUAGAAGUGGUUAAUGAAAUUUUGAAUAGCCACUUCCCCUGCCGACUUUAGUUUUUCCUUUAAGGAGGCGAUUUCCUCAGAUUGGGCCUCCGCCCUCUGCCUCAGCUCUACUUUUUCUUUAUUGGAGGCCUCCAGAGCCUCCGUAGCGAGCCGGUGGUGCUCAUUGGCGUGAUCCACUCUUCGGGUCAUAACAGCCACCUGACACUCCACUUCAUAGAGCUCUUUCUUCAGUCGCUCUAUAUCUUCUUUAGCAACCGCCAGCUGGGCCUCGACCUCCCUUCUUCCUUUUUCUUUCUCCGUGGCCUUGGCUUGGGCCUCCCUCACCACAUCCCCAUAUUGCAUCGCUUCCUCGAGACGCUUGGCGAGGUCCUCCCUCUUGGCGUUGAGGUAUUUCACCAAGCCUUCGAGCUGGAUGCUGGUGCUCAGAGCCUGAGCCACACAGGCACUAUUAGCCGCCACUAGGUCCUUGGCAGUGCAGGAGGCGGUGUGGUCCCUCUAUUCUUCAGUCCAGUACUUAUUGUGGACCAUCGCCACUGCAGCCAUUUUUGGAGGGAGAGCCUCCGGUACUUCUUUUACUAGCUCCUCGAAGUUUGUGCCCAAGAAGUCCACCUCCUUUGAGGGACGGGCUCUUUUCAUCUUGGGCUAUCCCAGCACCUUGGUGAGAGUCACAGCAGCAACUGGCAGUGUGACCAGGGCAGGAGAAGCCUCUGAUGGCGCAGGCGUUUUCUCCGGAAGGGCCACUCCGGUAGGAAUUGUAGUUUGCCUCAGAACGGAGGGCGGCCUCAUCACCGUUGGUCGCUUCAAGGGGGCAGCAGGUUUUUUGCCCUUUCGAAGUAGAUUGACCUCAGGAUCCUCAGGCACCUCCUCCUCCAUUGGAGGGAGCCUCUUGCUGGCGUCCACCAAGUCCUCCAUCUACUUCUUAUAGGUAGAGGAGGAGGUCUUCAAGGCCCUCGCUUCGGCCAUCAUCUUUUGUAUGGUCUUGAAGUUGGGCUGGAGAGGCAUCUUCUUAUUAAAGUUAUCUGCAAGAAACAAGUAAAUUGAUACAAGUGUAAACGACUCGAAAGUACAGAAGGGUAUUCACUUCGAGAUAUUACCUUGUGAGGUCAUCAGGUUGUGCGUCACAAAAUGAAUGUUCUUUCUGAUCAGCCGGUGGAACGACCUCUUCUUCGGAGGCAGCUGAUAUAUGACGUAGAUGAUCUCGAAGUCAUCGGAGGACAGCUCGCACUGAGGAAGAGUUCCUUCAAAAAAUGAAAACAAAUGUUAAUAUGAUCCGAACCAAAGAGAAAUAAACAAGAAGCACAUCUACAAUACUCACUAAGUGAUGAGUACUUCGUAGGGACUGUAAGAGGUGUCAGGGGGUCCCCCUCCAUCGUGUCCCAUCUCCCAGUAGCCCAGCACCACGAGCUCUUCCACUCCUUAAUGGAGCUCGGCAGAUCGAGCACGAAAGAAGUGUGGGAACCCCAAGAGGUCAGGUAAUACCAACCCCCGGUCUUAUCCCCCUGGCUAUUACUUUGGGAAUGUAGAGGGUUUGAAAAACAGAGAAGGGCAUCUCCACCCCAAGUGACGCCUCUUUCCAUAACAUCCAGGAGCCCACCAUUUGGCUUUAGGAGUUUGGGUUCAAUUGUGUCGGUGCUAAGCCAUAAGACCUAAGCACCAUCUGAAAAAAGGGUGAAUUGGAAGCCUAAGACCAGCCCUAAGGAUCGCCUCGCUUAUCGCCACACACCCUGACCUUGGGUAGCAGGCCCUCUUGUCUGGCUCGGGUAGGAUCAGGUCUAUACUAUCUGGUAUCCUAUAUUCAGUCCUAAUUCUUUCUAGGUCGGCCCCCUUUAGCUUGGAGGGAUAAUCCGACGCCCCCCAAUGCAUAGAAGUAUCUGCUGGGCUAUCUGGCCUCUUCCAAAUGUUCUCCCCCCAAGUAUCGCUUCGGCUACUUCGGAGGAGGUCGCCACAAUGGGCUCGUCCAUCCGCACUAACUCCAGCCCCCUCCCCGAACUAGCACUACCCUCAGAAGCUAUUUUCAGAAAGGAAAUGUCUCAAAUAUUUACUGAAACUUACGAGUUUGAGUGUUCCCCAGCCGAAAAUGGUCAAAAAGAGGUGUGUGGUCAACUGAAAUUCGAAUUUCUCGCUGAAAAUGCUUGAAGAACGUCGAAAAUCGCAAAGAGUUUGAGAGCAAUGGGAUUUUCUAUUUUCCCAAGAGUGAAAGGCUCCAAAAAUGCUCAAAUCCACCUUUUAUAGAGCGCUUCAACUAAUCUCCACCGUUGAAUUCAAAUGCAAUCAAUAUAGGCCGUCCGUCGCAUCAUCAAUCUAGGCCGUUGAAAUGAAACGCCAGAUUUGGUCUAGGCCUAAGAUUUUGCUGUGGCCCUCACGCUCACAUAGAACGCGUCGCCUCGGUUACCACCAGCUGUUAACAAUAAAUAGUCGCAGUAGGUUUUUAGGGGAAUGGGCGUUGCACCCAACUGUCACCUUGGGAAUACGCAACAGCUGUCAAAUCAUUUAACGUCAGAUACACCCACCUCGGAUCGAGCUCCUCACUCAACUUUACAAAGUUUAGACGCACCUGACGCGGAGUCCCCAGUGGGUCAACGCCUUGGUCGCUACGUGCCCUCCUAAGCUUUACAAAGUUUUAGCCAUCUCCCAACACAUCGUCUCUUGUGGGUCAGCGCAUUGGUAGUAGAUAAGCUCCUCACUCAACUUUACAUAGCUUAGACACACCUGACGAGGAGUCCCCUGUGGGUCAUCUCCUCGAUCGCUGCAUUCCUUCCUAAGCUUUACAAAGUUUUAACCAUCUCCCAACACGUCGUCUCCUGUGGGUCAGCGCACCAAUGGCAGAUGAGCUCCUCACUCAACUUUACAUAGCUUAGACGCAUCUGACGUGGAGUCCUUUGUGGGUCAUCGCCUCGAUCGCUGCGUUCCCUCUUAAGCUUUACAAAGUUUUAGCCAUCUCCGAACCCGUCGUCCCCUGUGGGUUAGCGCACCGGUGGCAGAUGAGCUCCUCACUCAACUUUAUAUAGCUUAGACGCACCUGACGCGGAGUCCCCUUUGGAUCAUCGCUUCAGUCGUUGCGUUUCCUUCUAAGCUUUACAAAAUUUUAGCCAUCUCCCAACGCGUCGUCCCCUGUGGGUCAGCGCACCGUUGGCAGAUGAGCUUCUUACUCAACUUUAUAUAGCUUAGACGCACCUGACGCGGAGUCCCCUGUGGAUCAUCACCUCUGUCGUUGCAUUCCCUCCUAAGCUUUACAAAGUUUUAGCCAUCUCCUUACGCGUCGUCCAGUUGGGCAGCACCUCGAUCUCACAUAAAUUUUUCCUCCCGCAGUAGCGAAGCUUUAGCGCAUCUACCUAAAAUCAACGCUUCGACGAACACAAAUGAACGACCCUCAAGUUCUCACGAAUCAUGGUCCCCAUCCCGAGGCAUACAUACUCAAUCGAGAAGACAAGUCCACCCAUAAUAUAAAUAUUCAUACUUGAACUUGGGGGACCACUAUUAUGCCCUUAUCUGAACCACUUCAGAAAGUUCACCACCACAUCAUGCGAGAUGUGGAACGCUCAUCCGAAGUGGUUCUGAAGUGACUUCACCAACGGUGACGAUCUGCUAUCACACUACGAGGCAUAGGCAAUUCUGCGGGACUGACUGAAACGCUCUCGCCCCUGAAUUCGAGGCGAAAUGCACUCUGAGGACCUCUGCCAGAGGAUUCGUCGUCAAUUUCAGAAUGAGAUCUUUGUCAGAAUCUUUUCUGCACCUAAGGUUUAAAGUGAUUUGACGUCUCCACGAAGCUAGUUGAUGUGACAUAUCAACUUUAUGUCAACUCAACUCGGGAGAAGUAAUUACCCGCUCACUCUAUAGACGCGGCUGAUUGACGCCUAUAAGCAGACGCCUCAUACUGUCAGAUGUAUACACGUGUUCCACAUCCAGAGGUUCUCCUCACUUAUAAAUAUCCAAGGCUUGGCAAGAGGCAAAGGUAAUGAAACUCUUACUACUUAACACUCCAUAACAAGCAAAUAUAUAUAUUUUCCUCCCCACUAUUUUGCACAACCUUGGUACUGUUUCGAUCACUUGAGCCUAACUUGACCGCCAAAGUGUGUACGGCCGUCGCCACCCCCGCUGGUUUCAGCCGUGUGCAUCUGAUCUUACGUUGAUUGUGCACAGGGAGGACUACGUGGAGCGGCUAUCGGUUGGCCACGUAGAGGGUCCGAUUUCCGAGGUCAACACUUACGAGUAUAAAUUUUUUCAUUUUUUUCCUAUAUUGCUCGAUUAAAAUGAUUUCAAUUUUAAUUAUUUGUAUUUAUUAUAUUUUUUUUUACUUCUUUUCCGGUGGAUUGGUGGAAAUUGUAUAGCUUUUUGUUAAAAAAAAAAAACUCAGAAUGGUAUUUUUGUCACGUACGUUUUCACAUUGAACUGGUUUGAAAUGUUUGGUUCAAAUGGUUUGUCUUUUUCAUUUAAUAUAAUAAAUAAAAGAAGAUAUAAAAAAUAUAUAAAGUAAUGUACUAUUUAUCACUUUCUCAAGUUAUCCAGUCUCUUUCCUUCUUUCAAUUGGAUUGAUUUGUCUCCAAAAAAUUUAAGCUUCCGUCCACGAAAGAACUUUCCAUAUUUAAAACUUUCGAUAUUCUUCUUUCUUUCUGUACGAAAAAAAUUCGUGUAGUCGUCAUCUCUAUCUUGGAGAAGAAAAUCAUGGAAUUUGUAAUGAUUGUGUUUGAGAAUGUACUUGGAAAUUUUUGUUUUUGUUUGUGUUUUUUAUUUUUUUAUUUAUUUAACAUAUGUUGUUUUUUAUUCUGUCUAUAGGUGAAAAUUUAGCUUCGCUCAUAUUUUUCUACGUAAUGUGAGGUAUGUUAUUCUUUCUGUAUAUACAUGAAAAUCUAAGUAAAUUUUUCUUUAUUUGUUGGAUAUAGCUAUGAAGGUUUUUUUUUCUUUUUUUUUUUCCUUUCAUAUGUAUUUCUUUCUUCCUAUUUUUUUCAGGUUUAAGUAAUGUAACAUAAUUUUUUUGUUCUGUGUAUACAACUCGGCUACGUCUUUCUUUCUUUACCGUUAUCUACAUGAGAAGUUUAAGUUGUGGUUUAUGUUUAAUGAAGAUUACAAUAGUUUGGUAUAGAAAUGUUUGAUUGUUAUCGCCUUGUUUAUAGUUCUUUUUUUACGUGCAUUUUCGAAGAGGAUUGUUGAUUUGCGAAAUGUUUCCUAAUAUGUAUCUGAGUUCAGUCAAUUUAGUUUAUACUGUGUUUAAUGUAAUAUUAUCAUUAUUGGUUGGUUUUUAAUUAAAUUCAUAAUUUCUUCUAUUAUUGAAAUCAGAGGCCAGUUCAUUGUUUUCAUGGAUUCUUUCGAAAUCUAUGAAUGAAGAGUCUGGUCGUUUUGAUCUUCAAACUUUGUUCCAAAGCACAAGUCAAUCAUAUAAUACUUUCAUUCGGCAAUAACAAAAUCGAAGAAAGGCGGAUAGGAGAUAUCGAAAUGAAACUGUAAGUAUUGAUCGUCGUAAAAGAAUAAAUGAUCGUACGUUAUCUACAAAUAAUACUUUUGAAAUUGAUUAUGUGCAUGAAUAUAUAAUACAUUCUGAGGUAUCUACUUCGAAUGAAGAAAUGAUAAAUAUUUUUGAUUCUGAAUUACAUGGAUGUUCUAAUUUGUUAAGUGUACCAGUAACUGCAUAUGUAUUACCAACUUGUGCUUAUUGUAAGCAUUGUGGUGCACACAAAUUGUAUAGAGAGACUAAAGGUUUUUGUUGUUCUGAUGGAAAGGUGAAACUUUUUAUACCCGAUUCACCGGAUGAAUUGUAUACUUUAUUUACGUCUAAAGGGCCUGUAUCUAUGGAAUUUAAAAAAUAUGCACGUUCCUAUAAUAACCACUUUGCGUUUACUUCAUUUGGUGUAAAGUACGAUAAAGAACUGUUUAAAGCAUACAAAGGUUUUUACACAUUUAGAAUUCAAGGACAAGUAUAUCAUUAUGUAAAUCAACUUAUGCCGGAUAAUAGUACGCCUUGUUAUAUGCAAUUAUAUUUUUAUGAUACAGCUAAUGAACUAGAAAAUCGUAUGAAAACUUCAGAACACCUGGUAGAAUCUAUUUUAUUUCUUCUAAUCGAAAUCUUGACGGUAAAUCCGUAUAGUAAAUUUUUUAGGUCUUUAAGCAAUAUAACUGAUUUGCAUGAGCAUAAAAUUCAAAUAAGAUGCCAUCCAGGACUCGAUCAGAGAGUCUUUAAUACUCCGUCGGCAUCUCAAGUAGCUGCUAUAUGGGUUGAGGAUGAUGAAAAUGUAAAUAUUAGCGUUCAUGAUAUUACUAUAUAUGGUCAUUCUGGUGAUUCGCAUAGGGUUCAUUAUUAUUAUGGUUGUUAUGAUUCUCUGCAAUAUCCUUUGCUCUUUCCUUUUGGUGAAUGUGGUUGGCAUGAAGGCAUUCUAAGAUAUGAACAAACAUCUUCUCAAGUUGCACAGUUUGUGGACAAUGUUACCGAUCGUAAUGUAAUAAAUUAUGCGGCUCAAAUUAUUGAAAAAGAGGCUACAGGUUUGCUUAUAUACUUUCUUGUAUCUAUUAUAGUUCUACAAAUGUGAUAUUGAAAGUAAAUAUAAAAUUUUAUUCAUUCUCACUUAUGUAGUGCUGAAGGAUACGGAGAAGAAACGGUCUCAGGUAUCUUGUCAUGAGUACUAUUCGUAUAAGUUACAAAUUAGGCCUUUUGAUAAGUCUGUGUUACUUCACUAUGGUAGACUUUUUCAACAAUAUGUUGUGGAUAUGUAUGUUAAAAUAGAGACAUCCAGAUUAGAUUAUUUUCGUAGUAAUCAGAAACAAAUUCGUACUGAACUUUAUCAAGGUAUCGUAGACAGUAUACAUAAUGGAGAAACAAGAGGAUACAAAAGUGGAAAGAAAUUUGUUUUACCACAAUCAUUUACAUGUGGACAAAAGAGAUAUGCUAAGGAGGUACUUAGAUGCUAUGACUCUUGUCCAACGUUAUGGAAAAUCAGAUUUAUUUAUAACUAUAACAUGUAAUCCAAAUUGGCCAGAAAUUAAGCAAGAAUUAAAACAUAAUAAUGAGGUUCAAAAUCGACAAGAUCUUAUUGUACGUGUAUUUAGAGCAAAAUUAGAAGAACUUAAAAAUGAUUUAUAUAAGAGAAAUAUUUUUGGUCCUGUUAUGGCUCAUAUAUACGUGAUUGAAUUUAAAAAAAGAGGUCUCUCUCAUGCACAUAUGUUGUUGAUUUUUAACCGUGGUCAUAAAAUUUCUUCCACUAAACAAGUUGGUAACAUAGUAUCUUGUGAAAUUCCUAAUGAAAAUAUACAUCCUUAUCUUCAUUCAGUUAUUGUAAAGCACAAUAUGCAUGGUCCUUGUGGAAAUCUAAAUCCUAAAAAUAUAUGCAUGGAAAAAAAUAGUUGUAAAAAUAAAUAUCCAAAAGAUUAUUGUAAUAGUACUAUGUUUGGAGAUAAUUCGUACCCACUGUAUAGGCGGCGUAAUAAUGGUAUUUACGUUAAAGUGAGAGGUAAAAUGUUAGACAAUCAAUGGGUUGUGCCAUAUAAUCCUUAUUUAAGUGCAAAAUUCGACUGUUAUAUCAAUGUUGAAGUAUAUUCUUCUAUUAAAGCUCUUAAGUAUUUAUACAAAUAUGUAUAAAAAAGACAUGAUCAUAUUAAUUUUUUGGUCGGCAAAAAUAACAUAGACAAAGACAUUGAUGAAAUUUCUACUUACCAAUAUGCUAGAUGGAUAUCUCCACCUGAAGUUAUGUGGAGGAUUUUUGCUUUCAAUUUAUCGGAAAUAUAUCCAGCUGUUUGUGCUUUAAAACUUCAUAUUGAAGAUCAUCAAUGUGUAACUUACAAAAAUACAGACAAUUUAUCUUCUGUUAUUGAAAAUGAAAAUACGAGAAAAACUAUGUUAACUAAGUUUUUCCGAGUAAAUAAAAUAAAUGAAUUUGCUCGAACGCUUUUGUGUCGAGAUUUCCCAACGCAUUUUGUUUGGAAUGCAUCUAACAAAACAUGGACACCUAGAAAGAAGCAAAUUGUUGUAGGACGAAUUUCUUGGUAAAUCCAUCUGAAGAAGAACGAUAUUUUCUUUGUCUUUUCUUAAUCAUAUUAGAGGUACAACAUCGUUUGAUGAUUUAAGGACUUCCAAUGGGGUAAAUGUUGGUACAUUUCGUGAAGCUGCGCUUCUCUAUGGUUUAUUAAAUGGAGUUACUCGUUGUGAAGAAUGUUUAUCUGAAGCUAUUAUUUACGAAAUGCCUUAUUUUUUAAGACGUCUUUUUGCUACGCUUCUUACAAUGUGCAAUCCAAAUAAUCCUAAAUUAUUGUGGGAUAAAUUUAAGCCUUAUAUGACAGAUGAUUAUGUAAAUGAAAAUAUGCCCGCUGAAGUUGUCGAAGUACGAGCUUUAGAGGAUAUAUUUUAUAAUCAUUUGGUAAAAAUAUAAACGAUUAUGGAAUUGUGUCAUUUAACGUAAAUAUAGACGACGAUGAAAGAUUGAUGAGAAUGGUUGCAGAGGAAACAACGAAAUUGGAUAUUGAAAGAAACUUUAGUUGUGCAGCAACGUUAAAUAAAGAACAGCAAUUUGCAUAUAAUACAAUUAUGGAAAAAGUACAAGAUGAAUCAAGUGAAAUUUUUUUUAUCGACGGUCCGGGUGGGAUAGUAAAAACUUUUUUAUAUAGAGCACUCUUGGCUGGUGUCAGAUGUCGUCAUUUCAUAGCUUUAGCAACUACAUCAUCCGGAGUGGCUGCAUCUUUAUUGCCCGGAGGUCGAACUGCUCAUUCAAGAUUUAAAAUCCCUUUAGAAAUGGUAGGUGAAGUCAACUGCUCUAUUAGCAAGCAAUCGACAUUAGGAACUUCAUUGAAAAUGAGUAGGCUAAUAAUUUGGGAUGAGUCACCUAUGGUAAAUCGUUGUGCUGUAAAAUCUGUAGGCAAAAUGCUUAGAGACAUCACUGAUUGUAACUUGCCUUUUGGUGGAAAAGUAAUAGUUUUAGGUGGAGAUUUUAGACAGAUUCUACUAGUUGUACCUAAGGGAAACAAAGAAGACAUAAUAAAGGCUAGCAUGAUUUUCUCGUAUUUGUGGCCUUCUUUUGUACAUUUAGCACUGGUUGAAAAUAUGAGAGCGAAGUCCGAUCCCAUUUUUUGUGAAUACUUACUUCGAAUUGGAGGUGGAACAGAAGAACAUACUUGCGACUCUAUUAAGCUACCUAAUAGUAUAGUUCUACCAUUCGAAGAUGAAAUUACGUCUUUAAAAAAGUUGAUACAAUGCGUGUUUCCCAAUAUACACACAUAUGCCGAUCAUUUAUAUACGAUGGUCAAUCUUGUUAUUCUUACGCCUACAAAUGAAUGUGUUGACUACAUUAAUGGACUUUUGCUUGAACAAAUUCCUGGUCAAAGUUUUACGUACUAUAGUUUUGAUGAAGCAAUUGAGAAAUUAGAACAAAGCCUACAAGAAGACUUCUUGAAUACAUUAACACCUAAUGGUAUUCCACGUCAUGAGUUGAAACUAAAGAUGAAUUGUCCUGUAAUGUUAUUACGAAAUAUCAAUCCUUCCGAGGGGUUAUGCAAUGGAACACGCCUUACCUGUCAAAAAUUUGAGAGAAAUGUCAUUCUUGCCGAAAUCACAACUGGUGAAUAUCGUGGAAAACAAGUUUUCUUACCUAGGAUCCCUUUCAUACCUCUUAAAACUGAUCGAACUACGAUUCCAUUUAAAAGGACUCAAUUCCCAAUUAGACCAUGCUUUGCAAUGACAAUAAAUAAAGCACAGGCUCAGACACUUGAUUUCGUGGGUUUGUACCUACCAGAACCAAUUUUCUGCCAUGGUCAAUUAUAUGUAGCGCUGUCAAGAGCAAAAACAAGCAGAUCUAUUAAAGUUCUACUCAAACCGUCCAAUGAAAAUCAUAUGCACAACUCAUGUACUAAAAAUGUUGUGUACAAGGAGGUUCUUUCGUUCAUACAUUCAUACAACUGCACCUCUUUAUAGGUAUAUGUUCGAUUUAUUGGAAUUUCUUUUUUUGUCCGUAAUUUCUCUAUCGACUAUGCUAAAUGAAAUGCUUUUUUUUCAACUACAAUGCAGAUGUUAGAUUAUUCUAGAAGUUGAUGAAUGGAAUGGAGUGGAUCAUUUUUGUAAGAAUUCUAACUGAUUAGCAUUUUGAAGUUGUUAUUCAAAAUAUAAAUGACAUUCUACUUCAAAACAUUUUUUUUCAGAGUAUUUAAAUCAAUUUAAUUUAUGUAGCAUAUGGACAUUCAAAUUUAUGUGAAGAAAAUCAAGGAAAUGUUGGUGCAUAGGAAAAUUAUUGGAGCACACUCUUUUCAAAAAUUGGUUACCUAAGGCAAACCAAGCUUUCAAGUCUUCAGAUUUAAAGAUAACUUGUGAUGGAGACAUGAAUAACACAAAUUCUUCUGCACUAAAAGAAAAAAAAUGAGUGGAUGAUGAUUGAGAUAUUUGAGAAGUUUUUGGCAACAAAUAUUCUCUUCUUUUAAAUCAUAUAUUGUUUGAACUGUCUAGAUUAGAAAUGAUAUAUACAUCAGGGUGUUUGGUUUGCUUUAUGGGUGCUAGAUAACAUCAAUUAUUGUUGCAAGCUUUGUUGAUAAAUCUUGUAUUUAUUUUUGUCUUCUAUUUAGAUCUAUUUUCAUCCAAGUAAUCUAUACCUACAGAAACUUAUUUUGUAAGUGACAUGAUUUCUUAUAUUUAGUUGUCAUAGUUAAAACUUUUUAAGAUAGUAAGUUGAAAUUCACGUUGAUAAACAACUAGCAAAACAAUAGUGCUUAAUGAAAACUAAUCAUAAAAUUGAAAAUUAGUAUAGGUAUGAAACUAUUAUUAAACUAUAUCAUUAACAACAAAAGAAAUAAAAAACCACACACACACACAGACAUAUAUAUAUAUAUACACGUACAAAUGUGCAGGGUGAGACCGUAGAAAAUGUGUGGUGUGUCACACAAUUAUAAGCAAUUUUUUUUCUUCCACACUCGAGUAUUAACAAAAUGUAAGAAACUCCCAUUUUCAACUUUCACAGGAAUUUGGUACUGACUUGCUGUGCGAAGAUGUCUAUUUUCCCGUUUACACACGGCGAAUGUGCAGGGCUACACCGCACACCGCCGCAAAUUUUUUGCGGAGAUAGCCCCACAAAAAUGCACAUAAUUGUGCGGGGUAACUAUCCCGUACAAUUUUGUGUGGGUAACCACGCACAUUUGUGCGGGCUACCCCAUACAACAAUUCGUGUGGGUAGCCCCGCCCCACACAAAUGGUAAUCCGCACCAUUUGUGCGGGUAGCCCUGCACAUUCGUGCGGGCUACCCCACACAAAUUGUGUCUAUGCAACUGCACAUAAUUGUGCGGGGUAGUCUGCACAUCCUCACUAAAAUGAAAAUUCAAAUAAAAUAUAUCUUGUUUUGGUUAAAGAUUAAUACAAGAAACAAAAAAAGUAUUAUCUCUUUCUUUCAUUUUUUGUUCCCACAAAAUCUUGCAAAACAUUACAAAUCUUGCAGAGUCACGAGAAUCCUGUAACAAGGUGCUAAAACCACUGCACAUAUUAUGUCUAUUUCUACAACUGUGGGAAUACUUUGUCUAUUCUACAUGUAAACCUCUCGUCAAAUCAUUGAAAAAAACAACGUACAUUUCUUUAGCUUAAAUACCUUCACAUAGCAUUUGUUCUCACAAAAAAAAUUUAAAUAUUUUUACCUGCCAAUUACACCAGCCCAACUUUGUUCAAAAAAUUCAGGUGUCGUCUAUUAUUUUUUUCUGACUUCUCAGAUAGAUUUUUAGUUUUACAUAAUGUCUAAUUUCCAAUAUUUAAUUUUGUUUUAAAUCAUAUGAUGUAUGUAAUUCUUUCUAAAUUUAGUAGACACAAAAAUAAAUGUGCCAAAUAGCUCCUCCAAAAUCAUCGAUAUUUCACUAAAUCAUAAUAUUUGUUUUGUAAGUUAUAUAAUAAUUUCUUUUUCCAGAUUUUUUAAAAUCUUUUAUUAAUAUUAAUGUACAACUUAUAUUUUUUUCGUAUUUGUAGAUGCUUCCUACAUCUUUUAUCAAUUACUGGGAACCAGAAAUAGGUAACGCACUACGAUUAACUGCAUAUGAUAGUAUAAUCGUCAUAGUACAGUUAUAAAGAAUUGAUGGAGAAAUAUAUUUGGCUAAUGGAUGGGAAGAGUUUUUCGAUCAUCAUAACUUACAGGAUGGUUAUGUUAUAAUAGUUGAAUCUAAUGAAAAUUCAAUGUUGAAUAUGAGGAUAUUUGAUCAUUCUAGAGUAGAGAUUACAUAUGGCUCAAAUUAUGAAGUAGACGACGACGAUUUAAAUAUGGAUAAUCUUGCGUUUGAAGUAAAACUUACGCUGGAUCAUAAUAACCAUCGAGAAAUUGUAGGUGUUAUUUUUAAUACGUCAUUCUGUAUUUAUCCAUUACACAUCAUUCUUAAUAUUAGUAAAUCAUUAAUCCGUGUUUUUCAGUCUAUACCAGGAAGGUUUGCAAAACACCAUUUGCCAAGACAUGUGCAAAAUGUUCGAAUCCUCGACCCUUUACUUCACUACUGGGAUAUCACCGCAAAUUCAAGAGAAAAUGGUGUAAUGCGACGACUUAGUGUAGGUUGGGCAGAUUUUCUGGCAGACAAGCAGUUACAAACUGGCGAUACAUGUGUAUUUGAACUAUUAAAUUGGGAAUCUCCAAUAUUUAUGGUUUAUAAAAAAAACCAUAACAAUAAGACUCUAAUACGUCUAUGAAACAUUUUUUUACUGUUGAUAUUCCUAGCCAGUAAUGUUUAAUUUUUAUGUUUAUUCAACAGUUAAUUAUCUCAUUGACAGUUUCAUAUACUACAUUUAUUCCUUUUUUUUUACAUCAUAAUAUUAAUAGAGUAUACAUCAUUGACAUACAGGAUUCAUAGACAAAAUUUGAAAUUAUUCUUCAAAAAAUGAAGGAUACUCCACGAGCAUUCUCCUUGAGAGCAUUCCAAACUGAGCCUAAUUCGUCAAAUUAUAGAUUGGAUAUCAUCUUCGUGACAGAUUUGACAGAUUUAGACGAUAGAAACACCCCAAGUGAAAAAAAGCAAGAAAAUGUUGAGAAAAGCAUCCAUACAAAUUUUGAAUAUCCAUGCACAAUUUUUCACUUUUAAAUUUUGAAUUUACGUAUUACACCAAAAAUAACCUUAAUGUAAUUUCAAAUUGUUUAUAUAUUACAAAUUCUUCACAUUUACAAUCAAAAACUGAAAUAUUGUCUUUUAUUUAAUUUAUUUAAAGCACAUAAAUAGUUAAAAUAUCCAUGCACAAUUUUUCACUUUUAAAUUUUGAAUUUAUGUAGUUGCACCAAAAAUAACCUUAAGCUAAUUUCAAAUUGUUUACAUAUUACAAAUUCUUUACAUUUACAAUCAAAAACUAAUUAGAAACUACGGGGAUGUAGAAAAUAUUGAUUAUAACAAAUGUCUACUACAAUCUUUCUUCUAUAUAUACUCAUCCCGUCUACUUGAAAUGUUUCUAGUGGAUAGUUUAAAACAAAGCAUUCUAUGUAUUUGAGUAAAAAUACUGAAGAAUUUGCCAUAUAUGAAAGAAUUGUUUUCUGUUAGACAAAAUAAAUAGUAGAAGGUAAAAUCAUAAAUCAAGAAAGAAUAAAUGUUGUCAAUUUAAAUGCAUUGAAUACAUACCUGUUAUUUGCGCAAGGUAGGUAAGGUAUAAUUUUCAAAUUGAGCCUUUUGUUUCUAUGCUUCCUUAAAUCCGGUCUCGUCGAAGAAAAAUUGUCGAAAUUCAAUGAAAUUUGGACUAUUUUAAUAAAUGACUUUAUUUGUUCCCUGAUUUCUUCUAAUGUAUGAGACUUCUCACUACAAUCGUAUAUUUGAACUUUUCAUUCCAGAAAAUUAACAAGACAGAGAUACCAAUUUUUUCCCGUAUAUGAACAUGGAAUUAAUAAAUAGUUGCAAGCUAUCCAUGAACGCCUACCCACCGGCAAAUCACCAUUCAUGUAUUGCUGUAAAGUUGCAGUUAAUAAAUCCUUUUGAGAAUGAAAUUUUUUUUUUUGCCAUUACAUUAUGUUGCCACAUCAAUUGGGCAACACAUUCAUGUUCAAAUUUGAAGUCCAGAAUUGCAUAUUCUUUGGAAACAGGAUUGCAGCCUUCAUUGAUCAACUCUCUCAAUAGCUUUAAUUCCAUUUCUAUAUGCUAAUACAAUAAAUAAAAAUAAAUUAGAUAUGUUAAGCAUAAUAAAAUUAAUUAAGCCAGAGUUAUAAACUUCACUAACCGCAAUAUUGAUAUCUUUGGUUGCAUCCAUUAUAGUUUUUAGUGUAUCUCUUCCAUAAAAGUUGUCAGUUCCUACAAUCUUCCAGUAUGCACUGUAUAUAUAUAUUGUAGUUUAAAUUAAUAUUAAAUCAAUGUAAUACAAUUAAUAAAAUACAAUCAAAUUUCUUACCUAGAUGGAUUGCGCAGCACACACUCUCUUAUUGUUGUAUAUCUUUCCAUGAUAUAGUCUUCUAACGGAUAACCUGAAUACUUUAUUUUCUUAUUUUUCUUUUCUUUUCUUUUUUGGAUGUUCCCAGUGAUGGAAUUUGUUGAAUUGGUGCUUUCUGGCCACUACUAGAACCAGGAACAUCCUGCAAUUGUGAACAAGCAAUAGCUUCCAGUCUUGAUUUCAAAUCAUCUAAUCGAUUCGUCACAUUUCCUUUUUGUCGUCAAUGUACGUGGUCAUUGAAGCAAAAUUGUUGUCCAUAUAACACUGCAUAGAAGUAAAAUUGUUGUUUAUAUAAGACCGCAUUCCCAGAUACUGAUCUUCAUGCCAUUUUUUUUGUUGUUGAAUUAUUCCUUGAUACUGCUGUUCAUACCAUUUCUGUUGUUGUUGAAAUAUUUCUUUCUGUUGAUCAAGAAAUGCUAGAUAACGAGCAUCUUCUUCUUUUGUUUUUUGAGUAGUAUGAUGGGAAUGCAUGCCAGAUUGGAAGCCCAAACCCUCGUGUUGAUCUUCGUACCAUUUCUGAUGUUGUUCAAACAUUUGUCACUCGUUUUGAAGAGUUUCUGUUUCCUAUCUUCUUGAUUCAUCAACUAUGUCUGUCUUCAAAUUAUGACAUAAGCCAGACAUAUCUGACACUACAUGCUACCUAUACAUACUGAACAUUUCUUCCAUUUCUUCUCUUCUUAUAUAGUUGAAAUCAAGAGAAGAAUAACCAGACUCUUGAAAUCCAAUCGAAAUCUUCGCUAUUAAACUACCAGCAACACCUGUUUGUUGCUCGGUCAUACGUUCUGGAAUUUGUUCCUCGUCCAUAUGUUGUGGAAUUUGUUGAUGUGCAUUCUCAAAUUCUCUACCAACGAUGCCAUCUAAAAUAGUAUGUUGGUUAUCAGUUGGUAAUGAUAAAGUCAUAUACCAAACUUUGUCCAAUUCUUCUUCAGUGGGUGCUAACACUGCAAGUACUUCAAUCUACAAAUAUAAUAAAAAAUUAUAAUACCUUCCUCUCCACUAUUAAAUAAUUAGAUUAUUGAUAGUCAAAUGUAUAUCUAAAUUUAUCGUACCUCUUGAGUAGUGAAAAAUUGCUUUACUCUUCUCUCACUCAAUAUUUUUUUUGACUUCCAUUUAUGCAUUCUUGGAGCCUGUAAUGUCUAAUACAUACGUCGUCCAAAUUUGUCUCUAAUUUGAGAAAAUGCUUCGUAUAUCCAAAUCUACAUCAAAGAAUUCAAAAUCAAUAUUAAAUAUGUAUAAAAUUAAAAUAUAGAGUAAAUAAAUAAAUAAAUAUUACCUGAAAGGCAAGGGAAUAUCCAUGUAGUAUAUAUUUACAUUCAUUUUGGCCAGACUGUUGCAUUCUUUGUAUUCUUUCAAUAUGUGAUUGUUGUAACAAUUUCAACAAAACAAAGUAUGCCUUACAGCCCCAAGGAUACAGCAAAAAAUCAUUUAACUACUCAACCAUGCCUAAAGUUCUGUAAUCAAUAUAUCUAUUCGUUGGUGUCAAUACACAUUGUACCAACAUAACCGAUCCCAAUUUUAAUUUAUCCUCUGGAUGUUCACUCAAUCGGAAUACAUCGUAAAGCAUUCUCAUGUUAAUUCUUUUUUUGCCUUCAAAAUAUUGAUCUCUAAGUCGGAAAUUGUUGGGAUCAAUAUUAACAGAUUGUUCAGAACAAGGUAAUCCUGUGAUUUGACAAAAUUCUUGCAAGCCAAAACGAGCAAAAUGAUCGUCCAACCUCACCCACACCUCAUUCUUUUUACCGUAGUCAACAAACCUCAUUAUAAAUUCAUGUAUAAGUUUACUGCUGAAUUGUUGCUCUUCAUCUCUAUACAUAAAUCCAUAAAGAAAUCCAUGAAAACUGCUAUCGCUAGAGAUUAAAAGUGAUUGCUCAUCUGCUUGAAGCAAUGCUAUACAAUCUUUUUCAUAUUGGUAAUUGGGGUAUUGAGUGAUAGUACUAGAAAAUCAUUGGUUUGGUAACAGUAUAUAAUCUAGAGACAUCUGCACAAAUAAUAGAAAUGAAAAGUGUCAUAACAUAUACCAACAUAUCUUUGUGAUUUCAUAUAAGUAUAUAUCAUAUAUAUAUAUAUCAUGUAAGCUGGAAAAAAAUUACUGUCAAUGCAUAUCAAUUAUCAAAUUUAAUAUAUAUUUCUAAUUGUGAGAUUUUGUCUCCAAUUUAUAUUAAAAACAUUAUAAUUUAACUUUAAAACAGAAACAAAAAAAAGAGCAGGGAGUCCCGCACCAAUGUAUUGGUGCGGGGAGUCCCCACACAAAUGUGCGGGGGUCCCCACACAUAUUCGUGCAGGGACUCCCUGCAUAAUUGCGUGCGGGGACUCUCCGCACCGGUAUUGCAGGCAGGAACUCCCACACCACUGCAUGCGGGCACUUUCCCACUUACUUCCCACACCACUAAGUUCAUUUUCGACACAAAUUUCAGCUUUCUUCCACAAAUAUCAACGACUAAAAAUAGUAAGUUAUUCAUAUAAAUAACAUUAUUCAUAAAAAUCAACUUACCUUAGGAUUUGUUGCUUAAUUCCAAACUAUAAUUAGUUUGAGAUUUGAGAUGAAUGAAUUGAAGAUGUAGAUGAAAAAUGAGUUAUGAAUUUGAGGUGAAGAAAUAAAGUAGGUUGGUAAAAUAAUUACUAACAUUAAUUACAUUUGACAUUUAUCAUUUUGCAAGAUUCUUUCUUUUUUUUGCAUUUAUCUUUUCCCUACAAGAAAGAGACAUGUUUGUUUUCAUCCUCUAUCACAAGUGUCAUCACACUGAAAAUGAUACUUAACUUAUUGAGAAUAAUUAGAUGCACAAUAUGGCCAUUGUGUCCAUACUUAUUUAUCGAAUCUCGGACGAAGAUAAAAUACAUGCCCAACAGGUAAUAGGAAAAAUAUUCCUAAUUUAUUGUCUAAUCUGUGAUUUUACAUAGAUAGUGCAGUAUUUUAUUUUUAGUGAAAAAAGACUAAUAAUUAGAUUGGGUAAUCGAUAAUCAACUUGAUAUAAUUUAAUUAUUAAAGCGUAUAUCAAUAUAUCUUAGGUCCUUGUCAUAACCCUUCAAAGUAAUGUGACAUAAUUACUAAAAAAAAAUUUGAAUUUUAUUAUAAUUACUAGGAAAGUUUUGGACUUAAUUACAACUAUUAUAAAGUCUUGAAUUUUAUUUUAGUUGCUAUGAAAGUUGUAAACUUAAUUGUAAUUGUAAUUAAACUUCUAGGACUACACUUAUUAAUUAAAUAAAUUGUGGAUAAUUUCGACUUAGACUUUAAUUUUCAAUUGAGGCUGCUAUAUCGACUUUAAAUUAAAUAUCUUUAGGAAAGUUUAAGGGGCCAAGUUAGAAGUUGGAAAUGGAAGCUAUAGCAAGCUGAAACAAUGUGGAUCAACAUGGAACGGAGUAAAGCACCUUGGAUUGAACAAGAAAUGGAAUGGCUGUAGCUUACACGCACACAAUCGCAACGCAUAACCACUCAUGCAGCCGCACAGACGGUCAUAGAGAACUCAGCGGCGGGAAUACACACAACCAUGUGACCGGCAUUAACAUAUACCAUGUGAUCGCAAUGCAUCCGGAGCAGAAUUUUUUCCAAUUUCGGCCACUCACCAAAGUGAAUAGGAAUUUAUUUGGCUGACAGUUUGUUGGGAUCCUUGACCAUUUGACCCUUUAUUCAAUUAAGUUUUUUUUUAAUAUUUCUUUCCAUAUUUCAUUAUAGUUUUGAACGUAUUUACUAGGUUUAUAGUGUUUUAUGAUUUUAAAAUUAAAAGUUAUUUAAAUGUUGCUAAAAUAUAUAAGUACAUAAAUAAAGUAGAUCCAAUAAGAUUAGAUAGUAAUAAAUUAGAUGGACAUAAAAUUUGUAGUAAAACAUUAUGAUUGCAUACAAAAAUAGCCAAAAUGAAAAAAAGUUAAAAUUAAAAAAUCUCAUAGUCUUGUCAAACUUCCAUCACUGUGAUUUUUUUUGUACUCUAAAAAUUUCGGAGGUUUGUUGUUCAGUAGUUCAAAUACGCAUGUAUCACCCAUUUAUAAUUCCUUCAUGGAAAGAAAAUGUGCCCAUCCUAUAGUGAGACAUCGUACUACACCAUUUGGUCUUAAAUUUGUGGUGAUAUCUCAAUUUUGAUGUAAACAUUCGUGAAUUUUUAAACUACGCACGAACUUUGGCAAAUGCUGGCUGGCAAAUCUUCCCAGUAUAUACUGCAAUGCCAUUAAUGAAUUAUUAGUCUUGAGGUCAUAAUUAUAGACUUAGUAUAACUAUAGAAUGAAAAUAUUUUUUUAAAAGGAAAAUUACAAUUUUUCGAUGGCCAUAUUUACGGGGUGUUAACUUCACUUCGAAUACAGGAUUAUCCAUAUUCGAAUUGUUGCUUUCUUCACCUUCUUCGGAGAUGUCCGACUCAUAUUUCACUUCUAACCCAGAAUCAUCCAUUAUGAUCACGUUAAAUGUUGAAUUUUCAGUAUAUUCAAAUAUUAGGCAAUAACCAUCGUGUAAAUUGUGAUGAUUUAAAAAUUGCUCCCAUCUAUCAGUUAAAUAAAAUUUCCCAUUAACUGUUUCUAAUUUAUUGUCGCAAUUAUACCAUCGUGCGCAAUUACACGUACUGUAUCGCCGAAUUUAUGUCUCCAAUCUUUCGCAAACGCUUUAGGAAUCAUCUAUAAACAAAUAUAUACGGACGAAAACUAUAGGUAAAAUAUGAGAAAAAUUCAUUCCAGCUAAAAAAUAAUAAUAUUGUAUGACUAACCAGAUUGAUGCCAUAAUUGAGGGAAUUAUUGAUAGUUAUGUAAAACCGACGUGGAACAUCCAUUUUGAAGCACUGCAGUGGCACAAUUUUUACAGCGAUAAUAUGUACAUAUUUUUUUCAUAUGAAUGAUUGAAAAUGUUUUUAUAACAUUAUAAUAAAAGGAAUAAGAGAUUGUGUGCAUCUAUAGAUUUUUUUCGUACAAAUCAGUCGAUCUUCGAAUAAGUUAUAACUUAAAACUAUAUAAUUAAAAUAUAAGACGUAAAAUAUAAGAGAGUAAAUAGAUAAAGACCUAUUUCAGUGAAGCAGCAACAAGUCUGGAGUAAAAUAUGCAAAUUUGGAAGGCUAAAAAUUCUUGUAAGUAAAUAUUGAAAACACAUAUUUAUAUAGGCUAGAAAAAAUGUACUUUUCUUUCUUAUUCAUUUAGCCCCCUGUGAAAGCAUUAUUUGCCUCAUUUUAAAAGAGGACAAUUUAUUUGCCACAUUUUAAAAGAGGACAGGCCCUAUAUGCCAUACUUGCACUCCUAUUGUUACAUAGAAUAAUCCAGUGCACUAUUUUUUCACAUGCAUUUACAGUAUUCAACCUUCUUUUUUUAUUUAGUGGGGUUCAUUUCCUUUUUCCAAAGCCAACUUUUGGCCGAAAAGAACAAAGAAAUCUCUUUUUUUUUUUCACUACAUGGGACAAAGAAGGGGGUAACAUUGUAAUUCUAUGUUGUAUUAAUGACUGCACCCUCCACUGACACGGCAACAAUGUCUGAAUUAUAUGACUCAAAGACUGUAGAUCUCAUUGAAUUUCACAAAAACGUGCUAUAAUGUCAAAAUAUAUGUUCAUAAAUCAAACAAAGAUGGGACGAUCUUGGUCAGUAAAGAGGGUUGAAAAAUGGAUGAAAUAAUAAAAUACUUUCGCGAGGGCCAAACACACGAUUUGACAAGAAGUACUAAAAAUAGACAAAUUCUUAUUAAAACAGGUUCACGGGUUAUAAAAGUCGAUGAAUUAUAUUAUUGAAAAUAACUAUUCUCGUUGUUUAAAAAAAAUACAAGAAAAAAAAUUUAUUUAGAUUUUUUCUUUUUUUACAUAAUAUAAGUUCUUUUUACGAUUAUACAUUUUCGUUUUUAUUUUAUUUACUUCCAAAUUAUUUUUGACACUCUAGAUAUAUUAAUCUGUUUAUUAAAAUAUAGUUUCAAUAACAAUAUAUAUUUUAAUAUUCAUAUCGAAAGAAGUCUAGAGAUAAAAUUAAAUAGUGAAAAUUUAGGAUAAUUGGCACAAAACAUCCCUAUCGUUUGCAUUCAUUGUGAAAUCAUCCCUAUCGUUUUAAAUUUGGCAUUUACAACCCUAUUUCAACCUUUUUUUGCGAAGUUGGUCCUUUCCAUCCAUUUCGUUUGUUCCUUCCGUUAAAUAUACAUAUGGAUUGCAUUUAAAUCAAAUGAAAAUGGUAUAAAAGUCAAAACACCAUUUUUUAAUUUAAUGAGUAGACGUGAAGGCUGGAAGAGAAAGAAUAGAAAAGAAAAAAUUACCUGAAAAAAGAAUAUAUUAAUUUCUAGAGACACAAAGCGUAAAAAAAAUAGAAAAAAAAUUUACCUGAAUUUUAUUUUGUAUACAAAACUGUGUUUGUGCAAAGUAUGUGAAAACAAACAACAAAUUCUAUAUUAUCUAAAGUCAUUACAUGAAAAUAAAUAGUUGUGGAAAUUCUGUAUUUAAUUCUUCUUUUUUAUUCAAUUUUUUAUAUUAUCUAAAGUCAUUGAAGUAACGUAUCUUCUUUUUUAUUCAAUUUUUUGUUAUUAAUACUUUAUUCAAAAUAUUCUAUUUGCAAAAAUGAAAUAUAUCUGAAUAUUUACUUACAAAUAUUUAUAUUCAAUUUUUUACUGUAAGUAUCUUUUACAAUUAUAAGUACUUUUUUACUUUUAAAUAAACUGAAAUAAUUUCUUUCUUAUAAGUCACUUUUUACAUUGGAGAUAGUGUAAUUUUCUUAUCACUAUUUAAUUUGAAAAAUAAAAUAUAUUUAAAUAUUUAUACUUCAGAAAUAUAACGUUCGAUUUUUUUACUUAUAAGUAGUUUUUUACAAGUAUAAGCCAAAAAUAAUUAUCAGAAUUUAUACUAUUUUAAAAAUUUCAUUUCAAAAAAAGAAGAAUACGUAAAUAUUUAUAUUUAAUUAAAUAAAUGAAAUAUAUUCGAAUAUUAACCUUUACAAAAAAAAUCAUUCUUUCUUCAAAAUAAUUUUAUGUGAAUUUUAUACUUAUAAGUACUUUUACGUUUUAUAGACAAAUUUAAUUUCGUUAUUAAUAUUUUUUUAUUUUUCAUAAUCUUGUUUGAAAAACGAAAUUAUUUUUUUAGUUAUAAAAAAAGUUUUAAUAUUUUAAAAAUAAAGAAUCGCUUUCCUAUAAAAAAGUUUUUUACAAAAAUAUUAUUACUAAUUUUAUAAAAUCUAAUUCAAAGUUGAUAAUGUGAAAAAUGGAGAAAAAGUACACAUUUAACUGUUUUCGAGUUGAGCUUGCCAACAGCCAAUUAAUCAUAUGCCAUUUUAGUGUAUUGUCAUCUCUAUUACCCAUUACUUUGAAUUUAGUGUACUGUCAUCCUCGACUUGCAUUUUCCUUGUCCAUUAGUUUGAAUCUGACACAAUCUUUCUUCUCUACUUUUUCACGCUAUCAACUAUUAAACAUUCAUUUCAGUAGAAAAAAUAUGUAUUUAAAUCAUUUCUCUUUUUACGAAGAAAUUAAUUCUCUAUUUUUAUCUAAAAUAUUAAAAGUUACGUAUAACUAAAAAAGUCACGACUAAUAAUAAAAUUAAUUUAAUUUAUAAAAUGUACAAAAAUAGCCUAUAGACCGAUUUAUGUUUCCUUUAUUUCCUUAAUAUUAAAAAAAAAAAUUAAAAUUCUCAAAGCAACAUAUAGGUCAAAAAAUAAUUUAGUGUCACGUCAUUUUGAUUUUUAUGUUAUUUUAACAGUUUAUUUUCAUUUCCUUUUAUAAUUUCAACAUGAAUAUUAGGGAUUCUGAAAAUAUCCAAUAGUGGCUAAAAAAAUACAUAACACUUGAAUAAAAUACAUUCUUUACAGUGAUUAAAUGACGACAUUCAAUACUCCAUUACAAUCAGGCAAAUUACAUUACUCCAUUACAAUUACGAAGACAGACGUGGAUGUAGGAAAUAUUCAUUAUUUAAAAUAUCAACGGUAAUUUUUCUUCUAUAUAUAACCAUCCUGUUUGGUGAAACCGAUUCUAUCGGAAAUCAUAGAACAAAUCAUUCUAUAUAUUUAAGCACGAAAAGUCCAUAGUUCAGCCUGUAAUAAUUUUUUUUUUUUGUAAUUAGUACUUACGAAUAAAUAUCUAUUAUAUUAAACAAGAAUUAUUUUCGAUGCUUACCUGUUGUUUGCAUAGGGUAGAUAUGGUAUAAUCUCUAGCUUCAUUUCUUUAUUUUUGUGUUUGCUUAUAUCCCGUCUCCCUACAAAACCUUUGUUGAACAGUAAAGAAUUAAUCACGUUAACUAUCGCGUGUCUUUACUUGAUUUGGUGUAUGCUCAUUGUGGCUGCAAUCGUAUAUUUGAAAUUUCCACUCCGGAAUAUUGACCAAAAAAAGGUACCAAGUAUUUUCGGGAAAUGAACAUGGAAUUAAUAAGUACUUACACCCUACCCAUGGACGGCUCUCCACAGGCAUUUUGUCAUUCACAUAUUUCUUCAAAAGAGUUCCAUCUGGUUCACCUUUAUUAUUUCCCGCCUGAAAAUCCCUUUGCCAAAUCAUCAUAUUGGCACACUCAUUUUCAAAUUGAAAGUCCAUGAUUGCAUAUUCUUUAGACACAUGGGUGCAGCCAUUAAUAAUUAAUCGUCUCGACAACUUCAGCUCCAAUUCAAUUGCCUAGUGGAAUAAUUUGAUAAAAAUCAAAUAUGUUAAGUAUGAAAUAAAAUUAAUUUUUAUGAAUGAAAAGUACUGACCGCAAUAUUUAUAUCUUUUGUUCUAUCCAAUAAAAUUUUCAACCAAUCUCUUCCAUAGACGUUCCCAAUGGCACUUCCAAAUAUGCACUGCAUAGCAUAAUUAAAACUAGAGUUGAAUAGAUCAAAAUAAAAUUGUAGUAUUUAAACCAAUAAUAAAAAAUCAUCUUUCUAACCUUAAUUCGUUCUACGCUAUCCAGUUUCUAAGAGUCGAGUAUUUUUGCAUAGAAUAAUCUUCCAAAAGACGUCUUUUAGACGACGAAGAUUGUAUUUGUUUUUCCUUUUUUUUUCUUCUCUCGUUGUGAUGUUUCAGAACUUUCGAUUUGUUGAGACGUUGAUGCAUCCUUCGGUCGAUCAUUGGGAAUUGGACAUGUACCAAUAGGAAUGCCUUCUUGCGUAAAACUAAUAAUGGCUUCCAUGUCUGAUUUCCAUUCAGAUAAUUUCUGUAGCGUAUUCUUAUUUUGUUCAUCCACAUAAUAUCGCAUGUAAUCUAAACUGGUAUCUACAUAAGACUGCAUGGUCUGAUAAUGGUCUUCUUGCCAUUUUUGUUGUUGUUGGAAUAAUUGUUGCUCUUUCUCCAAAUGUGUGUUAAAACAACUUGAUAAUGAAUUAUCCAUGUAGGAAUGCAUAGUAGAUUGCAUAUAAUCCUCCUGCCAUUUUUGGUGUUGUUCGAACAACUGUCUUUGAUUGUCAUAAACUUUUGUUCUCAAGUUGCCACAAAUAUCAACACCUCUUUUAUUAUGUCUUCCUUCUGGAUACCAAGUAGUUCUAUCAUCAGGUCUUCAGUUACAUAAUUAGAGGUGCUAGAUCCAAAAUUAGGCCCCGCUACUGGUGAAGUUCUUGACGUACUAGGAAUGGUCGUCUCUGGCACAUAUAUAUUAUCCAUUUCUUGCUCAAAAGUAUCAUCUGGGAUUUGUUGUGCCACAUUGUCUAAUUUUCCACCGACGAUGCCAUCUAAUACACGAUGUUCAUUAUCAGCUGGCAGUGAAAGAUUUAUAUACCAAGAUGUCUUCAAUUCUUCCUCCGUAGGAUGUAACGUUGAAAUAACCUGAAUGUGUAAUUUUAAUAAAAUAUCAAAAUAAUUUUUUCAUUUUGUUUUUAAAUAAUUAAACACAAAUGUAGUUAUAUAUUCAUUAAAAGAAAUCGUACCUCUCGAGUAGCCAGAAAAUGCUUAUUCGUUUUUUCAGUCAGCAGUUUAUUAGGAUUCCACUUAUACAUUCGUGGACUCUGUGCUAUUUUGUAUCGACGGCGUCCAAAUUUUUUUCCAAUUUCUGAAAAUGCCUCAUAAAUCCAAUACUGUAUCUACAAAUUACAAUUAUUUUUCUCUUACAAAUAAAUGAAGUCAAAAAAGAAAAAGAAAUAUUAAUAAAAUAUCUGAAAUGCAAGUGGAUACCCUCGUAAUGCAUACUUACAAUCUAUUUGUUCGUUCCGUUGCACUCUUUCUGCUCUUUACAAUUGGGAUUCUUGUAGUGAAUUUAACAAAAUAAAAAAUCCUUUUUGACCCCAAGGAUAUCCAAGAAAUUCAUCAAGAUGCUCAACCAUACCAAGAGUUUUGUAAUCAAUAAUUCUUCCAACUGGUUUUAUAACACAUUCCACCAACAUAACAAAUCUCAACUUAAAUUUAUCUACUAAGUCUUCACAUUCACGGAAAACCUCAAAUAGCAUUUUCAUGCUAAUUCUUUGACUACCAUUGAAAUAAUGAUUUCUAAGACGAUUGUUGCUAUGAUCAAUCUCCAUAACCGAUUCAUGACAAGGUAAUCCAGUGAUAAGACAAAAUUCUUGCAUACCAAAUCUAGCAAUACGAUCAUCUAAUUUUACCCAUACUUCGUUAUUUUUGCUACAGUCAACAAGCCGCAUUACGAAUUCAUGUAUCAAUCUACUAUUAAAUACCUCUUCCUCUUCUCUAUAAAUAAUUCUAGAAAAAAAUCCAUAAAAAUUACUACACAUUAUAGAACAUUGUUGAUUUGUAUCUAUAAAGUCUUUAAGAUAUUCCCGACUUUGAUAUUGAGUAAAAGUAGCAGAAAAUCAUUGAUUUGGAGACAGUAUAUAUUCCAAAGACAUCUGCAUAAAUAAUUUGAAAACAAAGUAUUUGUAAACAAAUUUAACAAUUCUAAACAAGCAGCGAAAUAAUAUUUAUACAAAUUCAAAAAUACAUGAAUACAGGAAAAAAUACAAAUUCAAAAACCUCAUUGCACGGGGUCCCCCCCCUAUUUCAAACCUCCGUGCACGGAGGUCACAACCUCUGUGCACGGAGGUCACAACCUCUGUGCACAGGCCAUAGGGGUCCCCCCUAAUUUUAAAAUUUCACUUAUAUUUAUAAAUAAAAUAUGAAGGUAAAAAUAUAAAUACUUACCUUUUGCUAUAGAUGGUGCUUGCUUUCAAUAUGGUUAGCUUUGAUAUUAGGUAGAAAAUGAAGAUUUUGGGAUAUAAAAGGAAUGUUAUAGAUAAGGAUAAUGUAUAAAUGAUAUGUGUGGUAGUAAAAAGUCUUCUACACAAAAAAAAAUUCUUUUUUCACUAUUUAUUAUACAUAGACAUAUUUCUAUAUUAUUUAAAUUAAAUGAAUAUCUAUAGCAUCAUUUCUUUUUCCACAAAUAAAUAUAAAACGUAAAUAUUUCUUCCGAUAUUAUUUAAACUAAAUCUUAUCUUCAUUCAUUAAAACAAUUCAAAAUUAUUUCUGUAUUAUAAGUACAACUUCACUUCUCCAUGUUAUAUAUUAAAUGUCUGUCGUAGUCCUCAUAUGUUUGCCUAUUCCAAACUGUCACGUUUUCAAAUUUUAAUAAAAUAAAAUAAUAAGAACUAAUAAAAUAAUCUUAUAUUCCAUUACAACCAUAUCUUUGUACUAUAAAUGAAAUUUUAAAGUAAUCUCCAUAUCUUAUGCCAAUAAUCAGUAACGUAUGGCUAUUUAGAUAAUAAGGUAUGACCGUUGAUGAGAUUUUACAAUAUCAAUUAUUUUAUUUGUUUUAACCAUAAAAAAAAGUUUCAUAUUCAGUCUUUCCUUUUUUAAUUUAUUUAUCCCAUCUAUGCUUAAUUUUUUACAACUGACACAUGAACACGUAAAUACUUUAACAACGUCCUUCCAACAUCGUAUACCUAACAUUAAAAUAUUUAUUAAGCCACUAUAUCUCAAUUUUUUUUUUAUAAAUAGGGUAACACAAAGCUUUAGCUUCACAUUCGCAACUGCAAAAACACAAAAAUUAUCGUUACCAUUAGAGCUUCCAUACUCUAAGAAAUUCUAACUUCUACUCAUACUGUCUUCUUCCUACAUAUCAACAAUUGCUAUAACAAAAUGGCUGCACCUCAUAAAUUCAUUCCACAAAUUUCAGCUUCAGAAACCAAUUGAUCAGCAAAAGUGAUUGUCGUAGGAAAACAAUCCCCAAAGACUGCUCGAAAUUCCAAUAGCCGUUAUCAAAAUCUUACUCUCACGGAUUUAAAGGUAUAAAUAUAACUCUCGUUUCAAUAAAUUUUUACCAAUCAUUAUACCUGUAUACUUUCUAAAUGUUCUCAUCUUUUUCUUUUUUUGAACAAGGAAACAAAAUCACAGCAACAAUGUAUGAUGCCAAUAUCACUACACUAAACGAUCAAUUUGAACUUGGAAAAACAUACAUUGUGUCAAAUGUAACAGUUAAAGAUUUCAAAAGUGAAUUUUGGAGUUUUUCUGGACAAAAAAUGUGGAAUAUAACAUGAAGAACAAAUGUUGAAGAAUUAAAUGAAGACAAUUUGAAUCUCUUGUUCUCAAAAUUUCAACUUACUACGUUUGAUCAACUAGAGAGGCAUAUGGACAAAAAUAUAAACAUAAGUAAGAUCUCUACUGCAUUACAUUUAAACAAAUCAUUUCAUAUAACAUUUCAUAAUUUAUUUUUUACGUACAAAUUUAUUGCAUGCAAAAUAACAUAUAAAAUAUUUCAUAAUUAAUUUUUACGUUCAAAGUUAUUGCGUGCAAAAUAACAUAUAAAAAAAUUUACGUAACCUUGUAGGCGUGAUGAGUGUCGCUAUAGGUGUUCGACAGAAACGUCUUAUUCAAACUAACUUUGGUACAGAAGCUUAUCUACAAGAUGUAGUCUUGAUAGAUAAAGGAUUCGAAACUGUUAUACUAACAUUAUGGGAUACCUUUGUCGAAAGAGAAUGCACUUCGAUAAUUGAACAUCUUCCAAAUAGACUUGUGAUAUGGGCUACAAAUCUCAAAGUUUCUUCGUUCAACGGUAAAUUUCUCUUACAAAUACAGUUCCAUCUAUAAUAUUAUUAUUAUUUUUUCAUGUAAGAUAUUCUUAAUUUCUUUUCUACAGGCAUCACACUUUCGACCAAAGUAAAUAACAGUUUUUUCAUUAAUGUCCAACUACAUGCUAUUGCGAAGUACAAAGAAUGGUAAUACAACAUACCUAAUAUACAUAUUGCUUAUUUACGUACCUUCAAUACAAAAAAAAAAAAAAGUUCUAUUUUAUAACUAAAUAUAUCGUUAUUUCUUGUAGGAUGGAAGCUAGCGCUUGACAAAUUGACGGAAAAUAAACCUUUUAUUGCUGUCAGCCUACCCAAACUUUCUCUUCCUACUGAUAAUGAAUUGACACCGAUUGAAGAUUUAUUAGGGGUGUAUCUAACGGUACUUUUAUUCUAAUAGAAACUGAAUAUAAUUAAUAGAAACACAUUAUCUUUAAUUUCACAAUAAAUAUUAUAGUAACAUCACGUAUUUUUCUAAGUCGUAUCCUUUUAUCUAAUUACAUGAGACAUAUCCUUUAACAGAAGAAAUUAUACUGGGUGAAUGCACGCUGAAAAAUAGCUUCAAAAGACCAAAAAUUUUGGUAUAUGUCUUGUAACAACUGUAAGAAAACUUCCUACGCGAACUUUAGAGAAAUUCAUAAAUGUCGAUUCUGCAAGUACGAACACUCAAAAGCGAUCCCAAGGUAAUUUCUUCUAUUAAAUAUAAGUUCAAAAAUUUACUAAUUAUUACUUCAGGAACAAGGUACAUAAUACAUGGCUAAAAAAAAAAACAUAUUCUUUAGGGUAAAUGCUUUUGUACAACUUGAAGACAAAUCCGGUUCGUUAGAUGCAACCAUCAUAGGAGAUGCAGCAGAAGUGUUAUUGGAAAGUAGCACCAAAGACUUAAUGAACUAUCUUCAGAAGGUACAACAUCAUAUUCAACAUCCUUCGAAAAUGCUUUCUUUCUUAACAACAAACAUGCUACUCUAUUGAAAUAUAUUUCGUCGACCACAGGAAGGUAUUAAAGAACUUAAUGACGUUGUCAAAUUGGAAAGUGAUACAGAGCUACUCUUUUACCUCAAGGCAACAGAAAAGCACCACGACCCACCUGAGUACCGCUUUGAAAUCAUAUUCGUGUUCAACUCCUCCACAGCAAAUCAAGUUAUUCCUCAAUUGUUACAGAAGAUACAAACAAGCAAAUUGAAAUGGAAAAAAAUUCCAACAACAAAGACGUACAAGGCAAGAACAAGGUGUCUGGACGACCCGAUGACAUUUCCACCACUACUGAAGAAAUCAAUCUACCGCAUGCAAAAAGGUCUCUCUUCCAACAAUCAAAUGUACCUAUUGAAGCAGAGUCAAAACCCAAAAAAAGGACUCACACAGGCUCCAAAACCGAUGACCGAACCAUUGGCAUCACCUCAAAAGAAAAACAUGAAUGAAUAACAUCUAUCAUACUUUUGCGACUAUUUUGUGACAGUAGACAGUAAUCAAUGUUUUAUUUUGUAUUUCUGGAACAAGUAACAUGAUCUGUCUAUAUGUUUGUCUAUGUAUAAGACUUCAGAUUCCACCGAAUAGCAAUAAAUUACUACUCUUGAAAUUUAAAGUUUGUUGUAUGCGUCUUACUUUCAUUUUUCUCCUUUCCAUUGCAAAUACAAUGAAAUAUUACUAUGUUAAAUCAUUCUAUUUCAAAAUUAAUAUCAUAGCUUACAUCCAAUAAUUAAGUUUUUAACUAAUGAAUUCACUUUUUCUUUAAACAGUAAACUGAUAUCAACAUUAAAAACUAAACAAUUUUCAACAUUAAAAACGCUAACAUAACGUUCAACAAAAUCCUGCCCGUGCCUAGUAUUUAUAUAAUGAAGAUGAAUUGUUUUUUGAAAUACAUUUACAAAAAAUAUAUUUUUUUAUAUUUCUUUUUAAAGUAGAUAAAAUGUAAACCCUUCUCCUUUAUCCGGGUUUGUGACCGGCUACAUCAAUUUUAAGUAGACGGAGUUAAAAAUUGUACAAGAACAACUUAUUGUAACGUGUACAAUUUUUUAAGAAAAUUAAAUUUAAAGAUUAAAAAAUAAGAAAAUUUUGAUUAAUAUAAUUAAAUCAAAUAUCACUUACCUGACGACAUGCAAUUUUAGCGUAUUUAUCUUGUAGUCGAAAAUGAGCGUGCUGGCAAUCCUUCACGCACAUUAACGCUUUCAAAAUAUCUUCUUUCAGUUGGCUCCUGACAUCAGUCAAAACCCUUUUACCUGCACUAAAAGCAGAUACGAAGCAACGCUGCUAACCGGAGGUAUCAGCAGAUCUUUCGCAAUUGCAGAAACAAUUGGCCAACGUCUUUCAUACUUUCGCCAGAAUUCAAUUACUUCUUCUGAACUUUUUUUAAUUGUUCUGUCUGUUGGCAUAUUAUGAUUGAAGUAAUCAAUUAAUUCGGCAGGCAUCACAUUUUGGGUUUCGGCCAAUGUUUCCGCAUAUAAAUCAUACAUUCCAUUUAAUGUUUGCUCUAAAUUCUUAUAGGUGAUAGGUAUAUAAAGUAUUAUGACUUUAUUGAUUUGAUCAAUUACGUAUUUAGUUCUCGAAAUAUUAUAUUGGGGAUUCAUUGCGCAUGCUAAAGGAAAUAACAUAGGCAGUUUUUCCCAAUAUUUUCUAAACUUUAAUUUCAUAGUAAUUAUAAUUUCACUAAAAGUAGGAUCAUUUUUAUAUUUAUGGAAUGUUCUUGCAAUUAUAUAAAGACGUUCAAGCACCAUACAGCUCGUGGGAUAAUAAACGUCGGACAAAAUCUUUGUGGUCUCAUAAAAAGAUGUCAAAAAUCAUUUAACUUUCAAAGCUAAAACCCAAUCGGAUUUAUUUAACAUACCAUCGUAAUUACUUCUAACGUGUCUAUUCUUAUAAAAGUCAAUUAUUAAAUUUUCGAAAUCUUCACAUGACUUUAAUAGCAAGUAAGUAGAGUUUCAUCUAUGGCCUACGUCGCUAACAAAUGUUUUAGCAGUCAUCACCCCUAACUCGACACAAAAAUCUUUAAAUACUUGUUUUCUACUAGGAGAGAUCGUAAUAUAUACUAAUACAUUCCUAAUUCUUUGAAGUUCAUCCUUUAUAUGUUUUAAGCCAUCUUGCACAAUUAAAUUCAAGAUAUGACACACAUAAUGAAUAUGAAACAAAUACCCACAAAAAUCAGGUUGAAGUGUCUACACAAUUUAUCAACGACUACCUUAUUAACAUUAACAUUAUCAAAAGUAAAAUAUUGAAUUUUAAUCUCGCAAUUAUAUUAUCUAACAAUGCUAAUAAUAACAUUAUAUAUAUUAUUAGUAUUGUGAGGAAACUCAAUAAUUCUAAAAAUAAUAAUUUUUUUAUGCAUGCACCAAAGUGGGUCUAUAUAGUACGUGGUUGUAGCUAUAUAUGCUCUUUUAUUAACCCCUUCCCAUAUAUCAGAAAUUAAAGCCUUCAUAUUGUUGCAAAUUCAUAAUUAAUUGUUAUUUUGAAUUAUUGAAAUAUUGUAUUGUAUCGACAUGAAGAGUGUUUCGACUUACCUCGACGUACCUUGGUUGCAGAUAUUUUUUCACGAACGAGACAAAGUGUUGGUUGUCUACAAUAGUCAGAGGCAACUCAGUGGCGGCAACAAAUUUCACCAUUCCGAUUUGAGUAUUGUCCUCUGAAUACACCCACGUCGAUAGAGAUGAAGUCGUAAAGUCGGCGUCGGAACUGCCAAAUUGCAAAUAUAGUGGCGUUGGUCCAUUUGCUUGAUUGUUUAUGAUGAAAUCCAAAUAUAAUAAAUAGAAAAAUAUAAAUGUAGUGAGAUUGUGAGAAUUGGAUGAAUUGAAAUUGUAACUAAUAAAUUGUAAAAAUUGAAUCGAUAUUGUAUAUUUUGCAGCACAAGAGAGUAAAAACUCGAUAAUUAAUAUAAUAAAAGAGUGUUGAGACUUGAGAGAGUUAAAGUAGUGAUUGAGUAAUUGAUAUGAAAAAAAAAGAGGGAGUUAAGGGGUCUUUAUAGUAGAAGGGAACAAAAAAAAAUAUUUCAGUGAUCAUUUCAGUGACCAAAACAGUCACUUUUUUCAAAAAGUGAUCGUUUUGGUCACUAUGUUUCGCGAGCCGAGCGGCUCGUGGCUCAUUAAAAAGGCUCCGGCUCGUGGCUCAUUUCAACGAGCCGCUCGUGGGCAUCUUCCCCGCUCGGCUCGCACUCGCGCUCGUGAUUUUACAAGCUCGAGCCACCCACAAGCCCUAUUUUGACGAGCCGCUUUGACAUCCUUAGUGAAGCUGGUACUGGGUUUGGGCUGUGCGUGCUUGUUAGCCCAUGAUUUUUUCAAGUGUUUGGUCUGUUUGAAAUUUCAAAUAAAUAAAAUAAUGGUUUAGAAAAGAACGGUGGAAUGACAAAAAUAUUAGGAAUUCAUUUGGAUUGCGUUUCGUUUUGAGUUUUGAUUUCAUUUUUAACAUAUUAUUUUUUUUAUUUUGGGAGGGCACUUGGUGCACAAGGCCACAUGGGCCCUGUAAUUAAGGGGUACCACUUGGCAUCCCUCUAUAGGUGGGGGGCCUAUCUAUAAGGGGCGCCACUAUAAUUAUAGUGCCCACGUGGCCCUGUAUAUUGAGUUUCAUUGAUUUUUAGGAUUGUUGAAAAUGAAUUCGUUGUCAUAAACUAUUUCUCAAGCUACAAAAUUAGAAAAGAAAUAUUUUAUAAAAUUUUAUUAUUCAGUAAAAUAAAAUAAUGUUAUACUAAUAUGUUAUUAAAUAAUAUAUACAUUUUAAAAUUGGUGAAUCAUUGCACAUUUUUCCUAUUAAAAAGGUAAAUACAAGCAAAUAAUAAUUGAGUUAGAAAAAACAUAGGAAAUUGGAAAAAAACUAAUAACGUGGACUAAAAAUUUUCAUUUUUUUCAAUUAAAUUUUUUAAAGGUUCUUUUAUUUUUGUUUUCUUUCUAGAACUUUUAUUAUUUUAUUAAUUUUUAAUUUUUAACUUUUUAGAAUUUUCAUUUAAAUAAAAUUUUGUUUAAAAUCUUGUGUCCCGUGUUGUGAAUGUUUCAUUGAAAUCAUUAAAAAUAUGUUUUGAGUCAUAAGUUUAAUUUUAUAUUCAGAAAUGUAUUUUAGAAAAACACCAAACCAUACAAGUUUUGAUUAUUUUACAAAACUAAAAAACAAAGCAAAGGUUUUAGGCGACUUGCUCUUUUAGACUCGUACCUUUGAUACAAAAUAAUCGUUUAAACUCUAACCUGUUAAUGGGAAUGAAAAACUUGAUUAUUAACAACAUUAAGGCAUAAAGGCACAACAUUAAUGCUACUCACGAGGUUGAAAACAGGGGGUUGAGGUGGCUUUACCUCAACCCUUGACAUGGCUGGUUUUGCGUAGAGGCGAGUGAGGCUAUCGCCUCAGGCCCAUCAUUAGAGGGUACUCAGAUUUUAGCCUAUUUCAGUUUUUUUAUUUUUAUUUGGUGAAUUAGGUUCUUAAAGAUUUUUUAAUUAAAAUUUUGAUAAAUUAGGUCCACUCCAUUCCAUUUAUAAAUAAAGCCAAAUAAUGUUUUUUUAUUAUGAAAUUUUCAUUUCUAAAUUAGGUCCAUUUCAAAUGUAACAUAAACGGACAAGUGGCGUAGGAUUUCCCAAACCCAUAUUGCACUAAUUUCUCAAUUCUACUCAACUUGUUUAUCACAUAGGUAGCAUUCGAUUUAUUUGUUUAAAAUAUGUGACGUGUUACUUGUCUUGACAAAAAUUAACGAAGAUCCUUGAACAAAAAGUAAAGUGAAAUCUUUAGCAACAUAUGAACUUCAAAAUUUUGAAUUCUUGCUUAACAAGGUAAUUUGUUGUGACAUGCAAUCAAUAUUAUGAGCAUAUUUUUUCAAAUAAAAUAUAUGGAUAUUGAUGGUGCUAUUGACUUCUUAUAAUAAUUUUUUUCUCAAAAAUUAUAGAGAAAUUGAAUUUGCUAUUAUCACCGAUAAAUUGACAAAAAGGCAAGUAAAAUGAAUAUUGAAGAUGUAAUCCGAUAAAAAUGUAUUAUUUGAAUAAAGAAGUAAUUUGACAAAAGUAGUAGUGAUGAGGUAAAUGAAUCGGUCGAAAAAACUUUGACUUAAAUACUUCUUCUUAUAAUUAAUUAAGCUCUAUCUCCAGUAAAAUUUGAUUUGAACAAUUUAUACAAUAUGAAGAAAUAUUUCAAUUUUAAUUAAAUUUAGAAAGGUUAACAAGUGCAAUUUUUUCAAUUUGUUAUGAAUCUUGAGAAGUAUCUAAAAUACAAUUGACGUUUAAAUAUUAAUGGAGAUGAUAUAUGAUUCUUAGUUACAUUCCAUGAGGUAGCGAGAGCAAUUAAAGUACUACAAUAUUUGAAGAUAUCUAAAAAGUAUUAUUUACAAAAUUUUGUUAAUCAUGUCUUAUCUUAACUCCGACCAACCAUAUAACAAGAAAGAUUGAAUUGAUUAACUAUAUUAUUAAUAGAAAUAAAUAAUCGAACAAAUAGAUUAUUCAAAUUUCAAUAACGUUUUUGCCUCUAAAAUUGCAAAACGAAUAGUAUUUAAUUGAUCAUUUGAAAAAUUGUUCAUUUUGUUAUUUGAUUAUAAUAUAAAUUUUUUGUAUAAUACGUUUUAUUUGAUGUUUUAUUGUUAAGUUUUAAAUUUACAAGUUAACUAUUGACUUCAUAAUACGAUUUUGAUUUUUGAAUGCAAACUAAAAUUUUGGGCCUAAUUUAUGAUGUUCAUCUCGGGCCCAAAAAUCACAGCACUAGCAGCCCCUGUUUUUAACCCAAUCCACCGCCAAGUGUGUAUAGCAUCUCUCAAAGGCACAAUUUGUUAAAUCAAAUUAUGUAAGAUUGGAUAAAAUAAUGGAUAAACUGUAGAGAUAUAUCUUCUCAAGUCUAUGAACGUGCAAUUUAAGGUAAUAGCCCUUUCGAGAAAAGUGGAUAUCGCACGGGGUUGUCUUGCGCGAUGGUAAUUCAAUAUUACAUAGGAUAGAAGUGAAGCAACAUGUUAGCAUAGUUGGAUUUGCAUGUUGAUUUACGUGAUGGUAGUAUGACAUGGGUGGAAUUAGCCGCCGUCGUCAAUUUUGAAUAUUGGCGCAUGCAUGAAUUUGGCAGGAAGGUAGUGGUGAACUUAUUGUCCAGUUGAUACACCUCAGUGACAAAAACAAGCACAAGAAUGACACGUGAUCGACUGUUGAGAAUGGUUCGUCGAGUGCUUGAAAAUGGGGCAGUUUGACCAAGUGGGAGACACCCUAACGUUUGGGGUGUCAAUAGCAAUACGAAUUUGGUAUAAUUACGAAAUGUUCAGACAACAAAAAGUGUGUGUUGGCCGCUUUAGUUCCAUGUAAACAUUAGUUUAGAGAAGUAAAGUUGGAAUGGUUCCAAUAAUCUUGUGUUCAUAUCUUUAAUACUUAUAAUUUGUGCAAUACUUCGUCAAAUUGCGCAUAUUUUAGUUGAUAUAAGUGCAAAAUGUGCNGCAUUAAGUUUUUAGAUUUUGAUCUCUUUUUAUUCUAUAUUUUUCUUUUUAUUUUUCAUUCGUUUUUUACAUAUUUAAUAUAUUUUUCUGAGAGGGUUGUGAAGUUUCUGGCUACAGGAAAGCCGGUGUGCUUGAUUUUUCAUUCCGGCGUCUUAUUUGGUGCUUUGUAUCCGGAGAUUCUAUAAGUUAUGUGUGGUACGUGGUCUCUAGUACUUGCCCAGCGAAUAUUUUUUUAUUGUCUCUUUCCUUUUGAUCCCUAGUUUUCAUUUGCCAAACAGGCAAUUCUUCAAUAAACAAGUAAUAUAAACAUCAAAAUUUGAAAAUUUUGAAGAAAUGGGGUUUCAAUAUGAAUAUUUCACUUAUCAUUAUGAUGUUUGUGUAAUUUAGUGUAAAGAGGAAGAUAGCAGAAAGAAACUUUCGUCAAUACAGAACAAAAAUUAUUAUUCAGACUCUUCUCCCCUUGUGUUUAUUUUCUGGAUUUUGCUACUUUACAUAAAAUGGUACAUAAGCGGUUACCAAAAUGAUGUGGAGGGAAAAACAUGGAUGAAAAAAUUGACUAUGUUCUAAAUUGGCAAAUGAUAGAGUGCUAUAUGGAAAUUACAUAAUUUUUUAUUUUAACCUUGAUGUACAUGUAGCAAUAUCCUUUUUUCUUGGGAUUGUUAGCCGUUUACAAUUUAUGUUUUGCUUUUUGUUUUUCGGUUGUUGGAUGUUUUCAUUUACUGUUUAGGUUCCUUAGGCAUGGUAACUACCGGUAGGGACAAGGUCUUCUUCAGUUGUUGAUUGAUGCAAACGUUUGAAUAUCGUUCUAUUAUUGGGAGAAUUAUUAGCAUGGUAACUACCGGUAGGGACAAGGUCUUCUUCAGUUGUUGAUUGAUGCAAACGUUUGAAUAUCGUUCUAUUAUUAUUAUUUAUUAUUAUUAUUAUUAUUAUUUUUUUUUUUAAUUCCAAAUGUUGUAGGGGAACUAUGCAUAUUUUGAAUGGUGAGAAUUGAAUGUACAGAAUUUGGUCAUUUCUUCGAGAGAUCAUAAAUCUGAAGUAUGAUUUAAUACAAUUGGAUAGGCAUAGAAUGCUGCCAUGGAGACGUAAUGUCGAGUGAUUUGCAAAAUGGUCUUAAGUUUGUUUAUUGUUGCUUCUCUAUGCUGAAUAGAUUAAUUAAUAACGGGCUGUUGAUUUCUUUUUAUGAACACCUGCAGGAUUUAAUACACGAAUGGGGUUGGAUAAUAAUAAUAUUAAACAAGUAAAAAGAAUUUGAAAGAUUGUUCAUAUGGUGUACUAUUUAUCGUACACGCUGAUUAUUGAAAUGUUUUAUUUUUUCACUCUUUGGAAUAAGCCCCCGUUAGGUUCCAAUUUCUCAAAAUUCAUUUUUUUUCUUGAACUCGUUUUCAAUCGUACAUUUAAUGUGAUUCAUAAUUUUUAUCAACUUUUUAUGUGCACGUUUCAUCAACUUUUAUCGAAAAUCACUUAAAAUCUGAUUUUUAGCUCUAAAAAAUGGGGGCUAAGAAGGUAAAAAGAGCACUUGACCUGCAAUGCAGCUUGCUGCAUUUGCAAUUCCCUUGCGUUGAUUGUUCACGACGUAGAAGGGGGCCUUUAUCCAUAAUUUACUCCCGGGAAAACAAGUAUUCUGGAAAUAUUUAUUUAAAUUUAUAUUUUGAUAUGCCAUUAUUUGCGACAACCUAAAGCAUAAAAAUUUUCAGGUGGAGAGCAACUCGAAAACUUGGAUGAACCAUGAAA